GAGGGAGUAGGUCCCAUGCAAAAAAUGAGAAUAAAAUUCAAACAUCUGGGCAUCGUGGCUCGGUCGAGAACAUUGAGAAACUUGGUUUUAAAAUCAUGAAACUUGGCAUGGUGUCAUGUCAUGGUAGUACCAUGCCAUGGUAAAACAAAUUGGCCGAAUAGGAACAAAUUUUGGUAUAAGCUUCUUGCAAAUUGGAGCUUCUCUCAAGAAGGCUCGUGGUUCUGGGAGGGAACGUGUCACCUUUGUGUGCAUAAUUCAAAUUUGAAAUACAAGCACAUGUUCCAGUGCACCAAAGUUGGUUGAAAAAUCACAUGUGUGUCCUCAGGUAAAUUUCUAGGUUCCAUGCAAGAAAUGAGAAUGAAAUUCAAAAUUCUGGGCGUCGUGGCUGGGUUGGAAACAUUGAGAAACUUAGUUUUUUAAUUCCUGUAAAUCCAAAACACGCAUGAAAAUAAUGAAACUUGGAUUGGUGCCAUGACAUGGCACCAACAUGCUGUGGUAAAUUUGUAGUCCGAUUUGCGAAGGCGCACACAUUAACAAUCAACAAAGUCAUUUUGGAACAAGUGUUGUCACGUUACAAUCGGAAACACAAGUAUUAUUGAAACCGUGGGCGUUCUACUUACUAGUACCAUUUACGUGCCGCCACGCGUCCCCAUUUUUUAUUAGCUAGGAGGUGCCGUGCAGGGUAGCUAUUUGAGUACGAGAGGCGUGCGAUCAGACCCCUGCGCGUGCUUAUCGGGAGGAGAACCCUUUGACCUCCAUCUGCCGUCCACCUCUCUCCCAAGGUCUCCAUUAAUGGCGCCCGAGCCUCUGUUUAAUGGCGUGGCUAUGUCUCACUCGACUGAGAUUUAAGAGAGAAAAAAGAAAAUCUGAAAGCACGGAUCUUGAUGUAAGAUCCGACGGACCUAUAUAGCAUCUACUGCGACUUAUAGCAAGACUAAUGAAUAUAUAAGGACGAUUAAUUUUUUUUGAUCAAAGAAGGGCUUGCCCCUUCCAAUUUUCAUUACUGAAAACCACCACAAUUCACAAGAAGUUCAGCACAACUCCAGCCUAACACGAAGGACUAAAAGCUACCAGAUUGAAAUCGCAACAUCCCAAGAGGCCAACAAAGGCCAAACAUCCGCGCUAGAACCCAACAUUUCACAACCGACGACACAAUCCACAUCCUAAACCGAUUAUUACAUCAAAAGAAACCAGGAAACUGAAGGAAGCCCAGCAGCAACUAGAAGAAUAGCAACGCCAGGGUCGCCACAGCAAGAGUUUUCUUCAUUCCAGCCUCGCAACAUUGAUCUUCCACAGAAAGAUAAGGAUGAUUAAUUGUCUUACAUAAUUAGAAAGAUAAUUAAAAAAGCCACAUGCGGCUACGCCUGAAAUACACAAGGGCAAAAGAAGAAGGAAGACAAGGAUCUGGCUCGCUGAUCUCUACUUUCCUGAUGUGUUGCUGCAGGCCGCGGGAACUAGUCUCCGUGGCGAGCAGCGAUGAGCUCUUUCGUGUCCUCAAGACGCUGCUUGAGAACAUCCACGGAUUCCUCCACCAGCCUUUGGCGCUCGUUGCGGAGCAUGUCAUUCUCGUCCAUAAGUUUCUUGACGAUGACGCCGGUCCUCUUCGACAAGGCACUGGUCUCCUCCUGCUCGUCUGCACUUCGGAUGAUCUUCUCCCUCAGCAGGUCGCGCUCGGCCCGGAGCCUCUCAUUGCCCUCCCUUAGUUGCCGGAUGACGCCGGUAGCCUGUUCAAACGAGGCUUUCAUGUCGUCCUGCAACCUCGCCCAGCCGGAGAUCUGAUCCAUCUGGCUAUGGACGAUCGCAUGCAUGCGCCUAUAACAGUCGUCGCCUACCCGCGAGAAAUUUUCCCAGGCCGCCGCGGCGCGGCUGGACAUCUCUGCUGCAUUCGUGGCGCGGCGGGACAUCUCUGCUGCUUCCGCGGCGCGGCCGGACCAGUCUGCUGCAUCGACGGCGCGGCGGGACCUCCGUGCUGCUUCAGCGGCGCGGCGGGACCUCUAUGCUGCUACUUCCGCGCGGCGGGACAUGUCGGCUGCUCUCGCAGCGAGGCGGGACAUGUCGGCUGCUCUCGCAGCGAGGCGGGACAUCUCUCGUGCUUCCGCUUCCAUGCUCGCCUCUCCCUGGUGGCAAUCUCUCGACCCAGAACUCACGCUGGCCAUGGCAGACGCAAGGGAAGGAUGCUGAAUGACUUGUUUAUUUUUGUGGAUGAGGAGUUGAGGAGGAAUGUGCAGUCAUCUUGGCAUACUAGUAUUUAUAACCGAGUGCUAAUACGCUCCUAAGUGGGAAACCGUUUAGGUUGUGAUCGGUGUGAACAGGUUUGCAAUUCAAUAUAGUGUGGUACUAAUACGCUCCUAAGUGGAAAACUGUUUAGGUUGUGAUCGGUGUGAACAGGUUUGCAAUUCAAUAUAGCGUGGAGUAAUUUGGAAUGCGACGAGAUGCAAGCUCAAAAUUUAUUGACGGUUCUAGUUUCGAAGUGCGGCACUAUUCCCGGAUGGAGUACUUCUUUUUCUACUCCCUCCUUUCCGGUUUUAUAGGGCUUAUCUCAAAAUUUUAGUUUUUCCAUUUUAUAAGGCUCAAUUUGGUUGUUCCCCAACACAUGUUCAGAUUCCAAGGUGCAUUAAAUCAUUGCAUGCAAGUAUUAAGAGAAGAUUGACCAAUGCAUGUACUUUAUGCAUGCAUGCAUUGCAAUUAAUGCAUUGAUAAACAUAAUUUUUUGAGAAAAACAAGAGCAUUAAUUAGGUGCUUUGGCAAACUGCAAAAAAUAUUCCACCACUCACCAUCUUGGUUGGUGAGAUUUUUGAAUUAAGCCCUAUAAACCGGAAAGGAGGGAGUACUGUUCUGUACGUGCAAUAACUGGCACCGUCGUAUACAUAUCUUACGGUUAAUGGGGCGUUCAACAGGAAUAGCCGUGUGGCGAGCUCUCACACACGCGUCUGUUUUUUCUCGAAAAGGAGGAUGAUGACCCCCGGCCUCUGCAUCUGGGAGUCACACACACAUCUGUAGCUACGAAUUGUACUGUUCUCAACCAUCCGAUUGGCUCUAUCAUGGAUGUAUCUAUAUACUAAAACAUGUCUAGAUACAUCUAUAUUUUGACAAAUGGAAGGCAUGUAUUGUGGAACGCAGGGAGUGCUUGUCAUCAAAAUGGAUAAAAAGGGACAUAUCUAGAACUAAAAUACGUCUAGAUACAUCUCCUUUUAUCCAUUUUGAUGACAAGUAGUACUUCUUACCCAAAGGAACUUUAUAUCCAACAGACACAAAAUAUCCAUUCGACUGUUGGAAAUUACUGAUCUGAUGUCGAAGUAAUUGCUGCAUCGCGACCAAAACCCACCAUUUCUUAAGCUAAAGUAGACCAAGGUAAUCCCUAUAUUAGCAUAUUACUAAGAUAAACAGAAGGCACUGUAGAAACAUUUAGGACGUGAGCUUGUCAAUCUGAAUGUGGAGGGACACAAGCUUAGCCCCGGCCAGCAGCUUGGGCGGAACUGUCAAGAAGGUCAGCUCCUGCACGUCGACGUCGCCGAGAUCCUUGCUGCUUGUCACCUCCAUUUCCACCUUGACGGUGUCGGUCAUGCCUUUGGGCUCCCCCGGCGGGCCGUUCGCCCACAGCUUGGCCACGUAGUGCGGCAGUGGGGACGCCCCCGCUCUGAUGCAGACGACCGACACGGCGAUAGGCGCGCCGAUGUCGAGCAUGCCGCCGACCAAAAAAACGCGAGGUUGUCCUCCUCCGCGAACAGCAAGAGUCGUGGCUCCGACAGUGGCACUUGCAGCUGGAGCACCUUGCCGUACUGGAUCCUGUGCACGGGCAUGGGAUGCGCGGUGCUGAUGUGGUGGUAGAGCGCUGGCGGUGGGCCUUCGUAGCCGCAGACGGGCACGGGGCAUUUGCAGGGCGCGAGCGGACACACGCUCUGGUGAUCGGCGAGCUUGUGGUAAGUGACGUAGAGCCCACAGCCUUUGUGCGGGCACUCCACCCUCACCGACGAAAGGACGGAGUCCACCGCCGUGUUCCGCACGUCGAAGCCACCGCCGCGCUCGCACUUCUGGCACUACCGCUGGUUCCUGGGGCGCUCGACGCGGCAGUCCGCGCAGGCCAGGUGCCCUCCCUUGCACUGCAGAAAUCAAUCGAACAACACAUCAAUCAAGAAACCUGCACCUUGCUCAAUCAGCCGAACGGACGAGGUGUAUUCGAACCUCAUACACUGGAGGCGUCAAGGGGCGGAGGCACAAGGGGCAGUGGAGCACGGUGAGGUCCAUCGAGACCUUAGAGAGCUCCAUCGUCGGGUCCUGUUCAGUCUGCAUGAUCUCGCCCUCCUCGUGCACAACCAUCUCUCGACUUGGGCCGGGGUAUUAAAAAGCUUUACCGUCACAUAUUUUAUACUACUUCAAGGUGCAUUAAAUCAACACAUGCAAGUAUCAAAAGGAGAGUCACGGCAUGCAUGCAUGCGUUGUAAUUAAUGCAUCGGUAAACGCAAAUUAUUGAAAUAUAUCGAGUGCGGUGCUUUGAUGUGUCGCGUCAACUCGUACAUCAACGAGAAGUUUGAUUAUCCUCUCCAUCGCGGACUUAACUGCACCUGCCUUUGGCUGUAUGACAGGUUGGCCACACACCUGUCGGGCCCACCUGUCAUACACGCAAAGGCAGGAGCGUCCCUCCCUCGCCCAUGAGCAUGGUGGCUGGCAAGACUAGGAGAAACUUUCGCUACACGCUCUCCCUCCCGCACGCGGUGGACAUGCAGCAGUUCAAUCGGUGUCAGAUGGCCAGAAGCGUACUAUAGUACUCCUCCAGUGCAGUAGUACUCCAUCAUUGUUCGACUUCCCGAAGUGGCGAAGAGCCAAGCGCAGCCCGGACGCUCGUGUGGCAGUUUCAUGUGUAGAGUAGUCUAGGAUAGCGUGUACCAUGCCUGUAAGCUUAAAAUCGUUGGGGUCGGCUCCAUGCUAUGUGGCCGUCUCGAAGUUUAAAAAAAAAUUAAAAUAGUCUUCUGGCCCUACCUGACACCUUGGUGAUUGUAGUUUGCACGCUCAUCUGGUCAAGAUAGGAAUAUAUAUUUUAAUUUGUUUUUUUGAAAAGGGGGGACUCCCCGGCCUCUGCAUCAGAACGAUGCAUACGGCCACAUAUAUUUUAAUUUGUGGUAGGUAAAUGUUCGAGGUUGCGGCAAAUAUAUUGUACACUGCGGGUCUUUCAGCCAAGUUUAGAGGCAAGCAUGUGGGGCCAGUGCUAUGAUGUGUCGCGUCAACUCGUACAACGAGGAGAAGCUUGAUUUUACUAGACGCCUUCUCCCUCACCCAUGCGCGCGGUUGCUCGCAAACGAGGACAGGCUUUUGCUUAGUAGUACUUCUACAACAAGCUAUCCGUCCCACUCGCGGUGGACGGACAUGCAGCAGUGGAUUCGACACUGUACAAGCAGUAGUAGUAACAUCAUUGUUCGUCUUCUCGAAGAGCUGAAGAGCCAAGCGCAAACCGAACGUUGCAGUUGCGAACAUUGGCGCACGCAUAUAGCCAGGCUCUUGCAUGAGACAAAAUUGCUAUGUGAGCCCACUAUUGUACUAGUACGUACAACUACUUGCUAGUAUAGCCCUGUAAACCAGAAAGGAGUAUUUGCCCUUCUAGAGAUUUCAACAAGUGACUAGACUACACCGAUACAGAGUACAUAUGGAGCAAAAUGAGUGAAUCUACACCAUAAAUAAAUACAUACUAGUUCUAUCGUUUUCCUCUCCGAGGUGCACAAUAUUGAGUAUACUGACUAGUCUCUUUUUGACACGCAUUUACGUUUUUUUUACACAGUACAGACGCAAGCGCUCAUAUACACGCGCAUACACUCACCCCUAUGAACGCACACACGCACGGCACUAUCAUCUUGAAAUUUAUGAAGUCACCAUAGGCACCUCGUCGUCGACGGGUCCAUAGGUGCUUGAAUGCCAAGGAGGGAGAGGGUAGCGGUUCCCGAGACGUUGAACGGUCAAUGAUGCAUCCUCAAUUACAUGCAGAGGGAAUUAAUUGGAGAAGCAGAAUAGAGCCAGCACAAUGUGAAUGCAACACAGUUUGGACUCUCAUAUAAUAAAGGCGCCCCACCACUCCAAUCCAUCUACUCCCAAGUCUCUGCGCAACACUGCUCACUCCAAUCCAAGACCAAGUGACCAGAAGCCACAAGCACCUAUGGAGGCGAUGGACGCGAGCGGCAGUCGGCUGUGCCAAAUCAUCCAAGGUGCCGGCCUGCGGCCCCGCACCGCGCAGCGUUUCCAGACGGUGCUGGCGACCGCAGGCAUCGUAGCCCUCACCGACGCCGGCUUCGCCUCUCGCAUGGAUGACAUGAUGGUCAACUCCAUCCGAAGUUCACCGCCGUCAAGAAGCGCGCGGACGACCUUGCCGUACUGCUCCAGCCCGCGCGCCCAGGCUCCUCAUUGCCUGCCACCCUCAUCGGCCUCCAUGGUGACGAACUCUUUCAGGCCCUGGUGGCCCUGCAUGUGCCGGAGGUCGCGACGAAGAAUGUGCACCUCGAGGCCGCGCUCGCCGCGCAGCGCCUUUCCAUGCAAGAAACCGUCGACCUGCACAUCCACGUCUACGAGGAAAUCGUCUACAUAGGCCACUACAAGGCCAGCGAGGACAGAAAGACGUUGGCCUUCUUCCAGCGGCUAGAAUCUUUGGGCGCCAUUGUUCAGAAGCAUGUCGACCUGGCCACGAAAGCCGCUGCUACUUAGGCGCCGUUCGGUGGGCCGGCGCCCUGAGUCGAGGAGGUGGACGUCGUCGAUGGAUGCAUCUCUUCUUGCCUCCUGUAACCAGCACUGCAUCGCCUCAUGGCCUUAAUGUUUUAUUAGUAUAGUACUCCCUCUGUUCCCAAAUAUAAGUCUUUCUAAAGAUUCCAGCAACUGACUACUACAUACGGAGCAAAAUGAGUGAAUCUACACUCUAAACUAUGUCUACAUACAUCUGUAUGAUGUAUUCCAUUUGAAAUAGUAUCUAAAAAGGCUUAUAUUUAUGAACGGAGGUUGUAUAUGGCAUUUUUAUUCCAGUCGUAACGUUUUCACUGUGAGGUGGGGCCGCAGUUGAGCAAACCCACCCCGCCCACCGGGCGUCGGCCGAGUUUAGAAUUAGAAGAGAGAAACGAGGGAGGAGAGCUAGCUGUAGCACGGACGCUGUUGUCAGAUUGGACUCGUGUUUAUAGAAUAGGAGUACUGAGCACUCGUGCCUUUUUUUUAGGGAAAAAUGAGUCGUAUGUCAGUUGGGUGCGUGCGACCUAUAGCUGUCAUCACUUUAGGUCUCCUUUUCGAACCGCGGCUACGCUUCACAGUACAUAUUAUUUCACGCAUUUAUCCUCCUAUAUGUACUCCUAGGCUAUUUCCACGUGCUCCCAUUCACCGACAUGUGGGACAUAGAGCAUCUGGGUCGUAGUGCAUGCACGACUCGGAGCAUAUGCCGGGGUACUUUACAUUUCAGACCUCACAAAUUACAUGCAAACCCCCCGCAAAAGAAUAAAUAAAUGAAUGAAUUACUACAUGAAACCGGAUUAUUUUUGUGGAAACCGGAGCACGCUCAUUAAAUUUUGGACAUAACACGUUUAUAAAAAAUGACCGGACCGAAACCAGUCUAAGGGCCUCUUUGAUUUUUCCCGCAAAAAAUGGGCCUCUUUGAUUCGCAGGAUACUGAAAACACAGGAAUGGGGAAAGUAUGAUGGCGAUGAACCGAGACGAGGAGAACUCUAACUCAGUUAGAGGUUAGAGUUAGAUUCUAACCCUGAACUAACUCUAAACCAAAGAGGUGUAUGGAUGGCAGGGUUAGAUUGACAAUAAAUGCUCUAUCUCAAUCAUUUGACUACUUUGGACCCUAUUUCCUGCCGGAUUUGGAGGGUGCUUGGAUACGUUUUAGUUCCAUGACAAAAAGUAGUGGGACUAAAACUUGCCAGCCUCACCCAUGCUUGGAUCCAAAUACUAAAGAGACUAAAAUCAAGUUAAUGAGCAUUUAUUAUCCUCCAAACCCUCCAAUCCAGAACUCGCAUGUGUUAAAGGAGAGGAGUUAAAUGAGGAGAGAGAGGACUAAUCCACAUUUUAGUAGGGGUACCCCUGACUAAUUUUUUUUAGUGUCAAGACUAGUUUUAGCCCCUCUUUAGUCAGGGGUGCUUGGAACUUUAGCCUCUUAAAGAGACUAUUUUUAGUCAGACUAAAAUAAGUCCCUUGGAUCCAGGCACCCUCUUGGUGUAGCCGGCACUUCUAUGGCCUCCUCCCGCUCACAAUUGACAUAAACAAACCAUCUAUACAAAUCAAGCAUGCAAAACAUGAUAAUUUUUACUUUGUCCAUACAAAUGAGAUAUCCCACUUAAACAUGCAAGUCGUCAAUCAAGCUUCACAAAAUAAAAAAACACUUCAUGAAACAAAGAAUGAGCUAACUCAUCACGGAAGUCAUUCGCGAUAGGGAGGGAGCCCGGAGCCCCUCACGCACCGAGGGAGGAGCUCGCCAUCGUCGCUCUGGAGGAAGGCUCUGUAGAGCCCAAGCCCCGGGAACCCCUCCGACGCCGGCCCUUGUGAGUUGAGGCCGACACCGGCAUGGGUAGCAGGGCCGCUUGCCGCCGACUGGGAACUUAAUCUUUGGGCCUCUAGAAAUAAUGCAAGCCUGUAACUAAAAUACCUAGAAAGGUGAACUGAAUCUUUGGGCCUCUAGAAAUAAUGCAAGCCUGAAACUGAAAUACCUAGAAAGGUGAACUGAAUCUUUGGGCCUCUAGAAAUAAUGCAAGCCUGAAAGUGAAAUACCUAGAAAGGUGAACUGAAUCUUUGGGCCUCUAAAAAUAAUGCAAGCCUGAAACUGAAAUACCUAGAAAGGUGAACUGAAUCUUUGGGCCUCUAGAAAUAAUGCAAGCCUGAAAUUGAAAUACCUAGAAAGGUGAACUGAAUCUUUGGGCCUCUAGAAAUAAUGCAAGCCUGAAAUUGAAAUACCUAGAAAGGUGAACUGAAUCUUUGGGUCUCUAGAAAUAAUGCAAGCCUGAAAUUGAAAUACCUAGAAACGUGACCUGAAUCUUUGGGCCUCUAGAAAGAUUUAUUACCUCCUCAAGCAGCAUCAAACAAUUUCAUGCGUGCACCACAAAUCUAUACCAAGUUUGAUCAGGAUCUACUUUUCCAAAUUAGAAUUAGCGCUAGAGCAAGCAAGAUCAAUGAUAUGGCCGUGAGACAGAGAAGAAACGAACAAACUCACCCCUCUCGCGACCUCCCUGGUAGAUGCGCCGCCACCGCGCACGACAGAGGGAGAAAAAUUACUGGUGAAGGGGGAGCGGGGCGACCUUCGAAGGCCGGAGGGAGAGGGCGGCUGGAGUAGGGCGGCGGAGGCCGGAAGGGGAGGGCGGUCGGAGGAGAGAGAGGGCAAGCGGCCCUAUGGGGAACAGAGAGGAGUCGUGCGAGAGGGGGGAGCGAUCUGGUGUGGGCAGGGGAAAUUUUUUUAGUUCUCUUUUAGUGGGCCCGAGGAUAACUAACCCAAUUAGAACCUCUCCACCGGGCUAGUUUUUUUAGCUGGGUUAGAGCAAACUAGCUCAAACUAACCCCUCUUGUUUCGAUAAUUUGAGGCUAUUUCAACCAAAACUAGCUCUAACUCAGGGAUCCAAACAAAGAGGAGUGUUACUGUACAUGCUACCGUGUGGACCGUAGCACAUUGUUUUUAUGGCCAUAUCACCACAUUGUUUUCUACUGCUGGUUCACUGGGCUACCGUGGUUCGCAUUGCUGGUUCACUGGGCUGCUGUGGUUCGCACUCCUCCGACCUGAGUAGUACUCUAGUAUAGUACUAGUAUAUACCGCAUCAUUCUUUGCUCCUUCUUACUACUCCGACAUGUGGGAGAGCCAGCAUCCGGGUCGACGUGUCAUGCACCAGAUUAGAGCGCGGAACAGAAGGGGGGCAUCACCCCGGUCGGAGCGCCAGUAAUUCAUGACUAUAGUGAGUGGUCAUAUCACAAGUCUUUCCAGUAGUAACGUGCCGUCAAAUCGCACAGCCCCACUCGCUCACCCUCCUCGCCUCUCUGUCAAACCGCCUACUCGAAAACUGCCGCGCGUACUGCCCGGGAAAAGCCCCGCCCUCAACUUUUAACUACGCGAAAAUAGUUCGAGCUUGUUCGUUCUAUAUAAAUACAGUACUUACUGUAUGUUUAUUCACCCGUGGGAUUGUUCAAUGAAUGGAGGGGCGGGGAGCACAAGUGAACAAUACUGUAGUACUACUAGUAGUAAGUAGGAGUCGUACAGUAGUCACCUUAAAUAGAGAGUUUCUUUUCUUUAAUCCACGUACACAAAUUGAAUCGCUUGUUGUGGAGAGAAAAAAGAUAAUCACUCCACUAUAUAUGGAUGCAGGGGCCUGAGCGCUUGCUUUACGAGGGUUGCUCUCUUCAUUCUCUCAUCCUCUCCAGAUAUAAACAAGACAGCGAUAGCGACAUUUUCUCUCUGCUCACCGCUGGUCACAGAUCCGGCCGGAUCCCUUCGGCCGGUGUGUGUAGAGGACUAAAAGGUGCAUCGUUCACGUAGUCAUCGUCGCCGAGGGAGAAAACCCACAGCUGCCGGAGGGGCCCGAUCCUCUGCCCGUUCCGUUCUCUCCGACACAGCGCCGGCUCGGGAGGUCCUCUGACCCUUCUUCCUCCCUUCCGUAUUGUCCGCAGAUCCGACCUGCCGCCGCCGACAUCCCGGCGACCCUCAGGUAUAAGUUCUUCGAAAGCGGCCUUGCUCUACUACCCCAGAUCCCCACGUGUCUGCAUGUGCAUCUUUUUCUACUCCCAUCAGCUCUUCCAAAGCCACCUAAAUUUUUAGUAUUAUUAGAGGUAAAGCUACUUCAUGCAUUCGAAUCUAGGGCUUUGUUCAAACAACGAAGAAAGGGGGGAAAGUUGUAACAUGAAUCUAGGACUUGAUUCAAAGAGGAAAUAAUAUGGUGAAAGUAGUAGAGACCGGAUACCCAACCGGUCUCUUGGUUGAAAAGGGAAAUAAUGGGAAAACGCAGUACAAACUGGAUAAGGAACAGAUCUAUUAUUGGUUGAAAAAAGGAUAGAAAGUGGCGGCUGGUGGACAAGUCAACAGAGUAUGUCCAGGAUUAGAUUUGAUGCCAUCACAUAGUAAAAGGUCUCCAGGAUUAGAUUUGCUGCCCUCACAUAGUAAAAGGUCUCAGGAUUAGAUUUGCUGCCCUCACAUAGUAAAAGGUCUCAGGAUUAGAUUUGCUGCCCUCACGUAGUAAAAGGUCUCCAGGAUUAGAUUUGCUGCCCUCACAUAGUAAAAGGUCUCCAGGAUUAGAUUUGCUGCCCUCACAUAGUACAAGGUCUCCAGGAUUAGGUUUGCUGCCCUCACAUAGCAUGAACAAACUCGGCAUCACCACUUUAUGCCUCCUUGUAGGUGCAUUGUGCUAAUGCGUCCACUGUCGCAUGUCCUUAUACCAACCUUUUGCUGUUGUUAAUGUAAGGGCGCAUGUAAAAUGAAGCGAUCACACUAUUACCUUAGGGACAUGUCUAACCAGUGUUAUUGUUAAUCUAAUGCCUCCAGUGAUAAGAUGCAAUUAAACUGUGUUACAAAUGGCACUCUUGCUGUUUUCCCCAGUAUGAUAAGUAAGUUUCUCCUUUACGCUGUUGAGUGUCCUGGUGUCCCCACGGUCCCAUGCCCUUAAACCAACUCUUUAGCUGCUGUUCAUUUACUGUGUCUGGUAAACAAGCAAUGCCACCAUUAAAGUAAUCCCAUAUUUGAGGAAUCUCAUUGUUGAUCGUAAUGCUUCUGGUAACAUGAAGCAUUGCUGACGUUUUAAAAUUUCUACUGUCCUUGCGUGAUUGCCAUGAACAUAAUUAAGAUGCUUCUUUUCAUUUUGUAUAUGUUUCGUAUAUUCUUAUUGACCAACAACGGUUUACUUUCUAUCUUUUUGUGCAGAUAGGGAUAUCCAUUUCACCUUCUUGCUAUUGUGACCUUUUGGUGAACUGCACAAAACACUUUUUUGGAAUGAGUGUCUUGUGCAGUUCAACUAAAAUGUUACAUGGGCAACAUCUCUCAAUUUUGGUGGAACUGCACAAAAUGUUGAUUGGAGUUUCCAAAAUCUCCUUCAAAUUCUGCUGGUAAUCUCGUGCAACAUUUUAUUAGCCUUUGCAAGAUGAGCCGUAGCUGAAUGAUGCAACCUUUGCUUCAUUUCAGGCGAACUGCAGAAAAAGUGGCAUGAAUUGAAUCAUUGGGUGGAGCUGCAGGUUGACUUCCACUAGUGCCACUAUUAUAGUAAUCAUGCUCUUUAUUAUCUGCGCUGUGCAAACAGGAAUACUGAACUACAGAUGUUGUGACGGUCAAGAGCAUUCGCCAAGUUCUUCGAUUGUAUGACAUGGCUAGCCAAGAUGGAUUUAAUCCCGAUAUUCACUUUAUCAAAAGGCUCUAAUGGGUUGGUUCUGAAUCUUGCAAGCUGGGAAUCAGUGAGAUGUGUAGGCAUCUUUGUUGUACUUAUUAUUUGAAUCUUAUUUGUUGGUUCUGAAUCUUGCAAGCUGGGAAUCAAUGAGAUGUGUACGCAUCUUUGUUGUACUUAUUAUUUGGAUCUUAUUUGUUGGUUCUGAAUCUUGCAAGCUGGGAAUCAAUGAGAUGUGUAGGCAUCUUUGUUGUACUUAUUAUUUGGAUCUUAUUUGUUGGUUCUGAAUCUUGCAAGCUGGGAAACACGACAUGAUGAUGUAGAGGACAACAACCAUAACAAACAGUUCAAACUUGGUAGUAUUAUCUUUGUGAAAGUGUGACAAAUGUGCUGAUCGUGAGCGUCCUGAGAAUAAUAAUUCUAAUUGUUGUGCAUGUUGAUCCUGUGGCACUGAUAGAACGAGCGAAUGCAUUGCUUGUUUUAAGUAUAAAUUUCUAUUAAAGCUAAUUAAAUUUAAGUAAAGUGACCACUGACUCCUGUUAUUACAGUACCAAUACAGACCCGCUCGUGAACCGACGUGUGGCCGAGGGUGCAUCUUCUGUCGGGCGUGCAGCGGACGAGGGAGGGGUAGUAACUGUUGUCGCAUGUACACACUCAGCUUACUGUUGAAUCCAGUUCCCCAAGAGCUGAAAAACAAACUGUUGCCGCCGCCUACACACUCGUUCACUCGAAGAGACUCCAAUGGCGAUCCGAGGGGUGAGCCUGCUGGAUAUGGACUUCGGCAAGGAGUUCCCUUUUGAGUUCGCCGUUCAGUCCUAUGGCUGCACCAAGUUGAAUGUGCUGUACACCAACGAUACAGACUCGGUGAAGCUCUGCCUCGCCUCAGUCCUAUGGCUGCACCAGGUUCUGGAGCAUUCGCCCGUUUCAUCGGCAGCACCGACUGCACCUUCGCUACGGUGGAGAGAAGGAAGAACGCGACGAUUCGGCCAUCUGGUGCAACAAGCUUGUCGACAUCCAGAAGCAAUACAAGAUCAUCAGCAACGGGCAGGAGAAGGACUCCGUGGUUGACCUCGCUGAGACCAUCAUCGACCCCUGAUACGCCAACAUGAAAGAAGACGACCUGAACACGUGGGAGGUACCUCUGAAUCUAGCCUACAUAACCUACGCGGCCAAGGACGCAUACGCAUGCUACGACAUGUACAGGCAGAUCUUGGACAUGAGGGCGUGUCUACUUUCCGUAACCGACGAGUACACGGACAGCCGCAGCGUCAUGAUCAAGCGUGCCAGGAAGGUCUAGAUGUUGUACUUUAUCUGUUUAUAAGCACCUUUAUCAUCUGAGUGUUUCAUGCAUUAGCCUAUGUGUCAGAAUUAUCUGUUUUGUCCGAAAUAUUUCUUUUAAGAACCCAUUAACCUGAUUGCUUUUUUUAGUGGCUAUUUGCUUAUGUAUGUAAACUAGUUCACUUGUCUGUAAAAAACUAGUUCACUCGGCUGCCGUGCUUUGAAUCUCCUUCCUCCCAACAUAUUCCCCUCCUCAGGUGGACCCAGCAGGUCUCUGAAAUUUCUCCCACUUUGUUUUUCGAUGUAAACUGAGUUUUCUCCCAGUAUUUUCUCCCACAUGGGCAAAGAUGCCCCAUCUUCCCCAUCUCCGGGUCGUUCCAGUCUGGGUGUGCUCGACACGGUGUGGUCAACGUGGUCAACAACCGAGAGUCAUCGGAAGAUGACUGUACGUGAGAGGCUGACAGUGGGGACGCACCACGCCCAUGGACGCAUGCAUGCAACAGAACGCGGCGAGGUCAACGUGGUCAAGGAACGACUUCCAUCGGAAGUAUACUAUACGUGGAGAGUCUCAGCUGGGUCCACGGCCGCAGCAAGUAAGUGCCUCCUUAUUACGCGGAAAAUAAUGAUUCCUCCAACUGACCGCAGGGACCCACUGGAUAUUUUGUGAAAAAAACAUUUGCCCCCUGACUGCUGGGACCCACCUGAUGGGCCGCCGUAUUUCGCGAAAAAAACGUUCCCCCCGCUGUCAGCUCGGACCCACCGGAAGUGCCUCCUUAUUACGCACAAAAAAUGAAUACUCCCCCGGCUAGCUGGGACCCAUCUUGGUGGGAGGCUGACUUGUGGGCCUACUAAGUUGAUGGGGACGAAGGGCUUUGUCAACUUAGUCAAUAUGAACGAUUCUAGCUCCAGUGACCGUACGAUGUCCAUCCAACGGCCGUACUGCUUCUUCAACCUCUGGUCUUCUUGCUCCAGCUGCCCAAAGCAGCGCCGGUCGUGCCGCAUGCUCCUGCCUCCCGUGGGCGGCCGUGCUGCCGCGGAGGCCUCACCGCCCCCUACUAUUCCCACCGCGGGCCAGGCCGGCGACGGCAGCCUCACACCGCAGCCGAACCAGUGAACCCUCGUACUCCUCUCCGCGCGGGCUUCCACUGCCGCGUCUUCCCCGGCUCCGCGUCGUCCCCUUCCUAGGCCUCGCCGUCGUCCACCGCCGUGGUGCUCUCCGCGCGGCGUGGUCAACGUGGUCAAGGAACGACUUCCAUCGGAAGAGUACUGUACGUGGAGAGGCUGACAGCUGGGUCCACGGCCACAUCCUAGUUUUUUUGUGAUUUGCCAAGUAAGUCGCUUUGUCAGGCCUGUUGGGCUGCAAAUCUUUCAAGACGAGGAGAGCUUUCAUUCGGCUGGCCGAGAAAAUGGCCCAUCAGUAAUGAGAAAUGGGAUGUACAUUUUUAAAACACAUCAAACCGGCAAUUAGUUUCAAAUAUCUUCUUUUUCAUUUCGAGAUUUUAAAUUACAUUAAUUUUUAUGCGUGGAGAAUUUGUUGGAUUUUAUAUUGAUAUACAUUUAUUUUUAAAAUCAGUUUGAAUGUGAGUCGAAAUUUCGGGAUUAAAAACAGUUCGGACCACACCGAAAUAUGCAAAAUUUUGUAUAAUUUUUUAACCGUGGCCACAAUAUGGGCUGUAAUGCUAACAAAAAGAAUAUGGGCUACAAAAAAACCUUAAUAAUUAGCAAAUGGGCUGUAAAUUAUUAGAAAUAAUGGCAGAUGGGAUGUAUGCUGUUUUCCACAGAUUUGAGGCUUUCCUAAAAAAGGGUUGACGCACAAGCAGUGACUGUUGGAUGGCCAUCCAACGGCCAUCGUGCUUCUUCAAUCUCUGCUCUUCCUGCUCCAGCCGCUCAAACAAGCGCCGGCGGGACUGCCUGCUCCCUCCUCCCCGUGGCCGGCUCUGCUGCCGCGCAAGCCUCACCGCCCACCGUACUCCCAUCGCUGGCCUAGCCAUACCUCUACUCACCCACACCUGCUGUUAUUCUCCGGCGACGGCAGACGAACCAGUAAACCCUGGUACAGUCGUACUCCCCUCCGCAUGGGAAACAACUGCCGAGUCUUCCCUGCCUCCGUGUCGUUCCCUUCCUAGGCCUUGCCGUCGUCCACCGCCCUGGUGCUCUCGGCGCGGCCUGGUCAACGUGGUCAACGACCGACAUGCAUCUGAAGUGGACUGUACGUGGAGAGGCCGACAGCUGGGUCCACGGCCGCACGCAAGGAAAUGCCUCCUUAUUAUGCGCAAAAUAAUGAUUCCUCCACCUGGCAUCAGGGACCCACCGAAAGGGCCUCUGUAUUUCGCGAAAAAAACGCUACCGCCGCUGACAGCUCGGACCCACCAGCUAUAUCUUCGCACGCAAGGAAGUGCCUCCUUAUUACGCACAAAAAAAUGAAUACUCCCCCUGCUAGCUGGGACCCACCAUGGUGGGAGGCUGACUUGUGGGCCUACUAAGUUGACUGGGACGGGGGCCUUUGUCAACAUUAGUCAAUAUGAACGAUUCUAGCUCCAGUGACCGUACGAUGUCCAUCCAACGGUCGUAGUGCUUCUUCAACCUCUGGUCUUCUUGCUCCAGCCGCCCAAAGCAGCGCCGGUCGUGCCGCAUGCUCCUGCCUCCCAUGGCCGGCUGUGCUGCCGCGGAGGCCUCACCGCCCCCUACUAUUCCCACUGCUGGCCAGGCCCUGCGGCGACGUCAGCCUCACACCGCAGCCAAACCAGUGAACCCUCGUACUCCUCUCCGCGCGGGCUUCCACUGCCGCGUCUUCCCCGGCUCCGCGUCGUCCCCUUCCUAGGCCUCGCCGUCGUCCACCGCCGUGGUGCUCUCCGCGCGGCGUGGUCAACGUGGUCAAGGAACGACUUCCAUCGGAAGAGUACUGUAAGUGGAGAGGCUGACAGCUGGGUCCACGGCCACAGCCCAGUUUUUUUGUGAUUUGCCAAGUAAGUCGCUUUCUCAGGCCUGUUAGGCUGCAAAUCUUUCAAGACGAGGAGAGCUUUCAUUCGGCUAGCCGAGAAAAUGGCCCAUCAAUAAUGAGAAAUGGGCUAUACAUUUUUAAAACACAUCAAACCGGCAAUUAGUUUCAAAUAUCUUUUUUUUCAUUUCGAGAUUUUAAAUUACAUUAAUUUUUAUGCGUGGAGAAUUUGUUGGAUUUUAUAUUGAUAUACAUUUAUUUUUAAAAUCAGUUUGAAUGUGAGUCGAAAUUUGAGGAUUAAAAACAGUUCGGACCGCACCGAAAUAUGCAAAAUUUCGUAUAAUUUUUUAACCGUGGCCACAAUAUGGGCUGUAAUGCUAACAAAGAAUAUGGGCUCCAAAAAAAACCUUAAUAAUUAGCAAAUGGGAUGUAUAUUAUUAGAAAUAAUGGCAGAUGGGUUGUAUGCUGUUUUCCACAGAUUUGAGGCUUUCCUAAAAAAAGGUUGACGCACAAGCAGUGAGUGUUGGAUGGCCAUCCAACGGCCGUCGUGCUUCUUCAAUCUCUGCUCUUCCUGCUCCAGCCGCUCAAACAAGCGCUGGCGGGACUGCCUGCUCCCUCCUCCCCGCGACCGGCUCUGCUGCCGCGCAGGCCUCACCACCUCACCGUACUCCCAUCGCUGGCCUAGCCAUCCCUCUACUCACCCACACCUGUUGUUAUUCUCCGGCGACGGCAGACGAACCAGUAAACCCUCGUACAGUCGUACUCCCCUCCGCGUGGGAAACAACUGCCGAGUCUUCCCUGCCUCCGUGUCGUUCCCUUCCUAGGCCUCGCCGUCGUCCACCGCCCUGGUGCUCUCGGCGCGGCCUGGUCAACGUGGUCAACGACCGACAUGCAUCUGAAGUGGACUGUACGUGGAGAGGCCGACAGCUAGGUCCACGGCCGCAUGCAAGGAAAUGCCUCCUUAUUACGCGCAAAAUAAUGAUUCCUCCACCUGACAUCAGGGACCCACCGAAAGGGCCUCUGUAUUUCGCAAAAAACGUUACCGCCGCUGACAGCUCGGACCCACCAGCUAUAUCUUCGCACGCAAGGAAGUGCCUCCUUACUACGCACAAAAAAAUGAAUACUCCCCCUGCUAGCUGGGACCCACCAUGGUGGGAGGCUGACUUGUGGGCCUACUAAGUUGACUGGGACGGGGGCCUUUGUCAACUUUAGUCAAUAUGAACGAUUCUAGCUCCAGUGACCGUACGAUGUCCAUCCAACGGCCGUAGUGCUUCUUCAACCUCUGGUCUUCUUGCUCCAGCCGCCCAAAGCAGCGCCGGUCAUGCCGCAUGCUCCUGCCUCCCGUGGCCGGCUGUGCUGCCGCGGAGGCCUCACUGCCCCUACUAUUCCCACCUCUGGCUAGGCCCUGCGGCGACGGCAGCCUCACACCGCAGUCGAACCAGUGAACCCUCGUACUCCUCUCCGCGCGGGCUUCCACUGCCGCGUCUUCCCCGGCUCCCCGUCGUCCCCUUCCUAGGCCUCGCCGUCGUCCACCGCCCUGGUGCUCUCGGUGCGGCGUGGUUAACGUGGUCAAGGAACGACUUCCAUCGGACGUGGACUGUACGUGGAGAGGCUGACAGCUGGAUCCACGGCCGCACCAAGGAAGUGCCUCCUUAUUACACGGAAAAUAAUGAUUCCUCCACCUGACAGCUGGGACCCACCGGACGGGCCACUGUAUUUCGUGAAAAAAACGUUUCCCCCUGACUGCUGGGACCCACCAGCUACAUCUUCGCACGCAAGGAAGUGCAUCCGGGCAAAAAAAACGAUUCGCCCCCCCUGACUGUUGGGACCCACCAGCUACAUCUUCGCAGGCAAGGAAGUGCCUGACAGUCGGGACCCACCUGGUCGAAGCAUACGUAGCAUUGUCAUCCUGGUCGCGAACGUGUACGUACAUACUGGUCGAUGUAGAGGCGUGCACGUGUCGUAGUAGAGGCGCACACGUAGCAUGUACAUGUACGUACAACGGCCAGUGUGCAAGAAAGAAAAUACGGCCACGUACGUACAUACAGGCAGGGUCUCGAACGCCUACUCGCGCAUACGUACGGCCAGGGCUCGUGUACAUGGCUGGGUCAGAACGGAGAAACAGCGUCGUCGUCGUGUUCAUGGGGAGGCAACGGAAUGCGUCGUGUUCAUCGGGAGGCAACGGAACGGGUGCGAGCCAACCGGCUGGGUCGGAACGGAAUGCGUGGUCGUGUUCAUCGGGAGGGCUUGGACGGAACAGGCGAUGGAAACGAGGCCUGGCGUACCGCACAACGGAGGAAACGGACCUCCUACAUUCGGAACGGGGUCCUGUUGAUCGGGAGGGGUGUGGCAUACCGCAAAACGGAGGAAACGGACCUCCUACGGUCGAAACGGGGGUCCUGUUGAUCAGGAGGGGUGUGGCGUACCGCAAAACAGAGGAAACGGACUUGUGUUGGAGCGCUACGGUCGAAACGGGGGUCUUGUUCAUCGGGAGGGGUGUGGCGUACCGCAAAACGGGACUCCACGGGACACUGUUCAUCUCCACCGUCGACCCCCUCCCGCCUCCACGGGCUACUGUUCAUCUACCGUCGACCUCCUCCAGCCUCCACCUGUGACUUAUCAUCCACGGGCUCCUGUUCAUCCAGCCUCCACCACGUGCUACUCCACCGGCUACUGUUCAACCAGCCCUCUCCACGGGCUCCUGUUCAACCACCCCUCCACGGGCUACUGUUCAUCCAGCCCUCCACCGUCUACUGUUCAUUCUGCCCUCCACGGGGUGGUCCUGUUCAUCCUGCCCUCCACGGGGUCCUGUUCAUCCAGCCCCAACCGGCUCGAUCGAUCGGGGUCCUGUUCAUCCAGAGGCAACACCACGGGGUCCUGUUUAUCCACCCCCGCCGGGAACUGUUCAUCCAAACCCCCCCUCCAGCAACACUCACUGUUCAUCCAGAGGCAGCAUCGAUCGGCUUCAGUUAGCAGCAGUAGCGAAGGAAUCGCUCGAUCGGGUUCAGUUAACAUCCAUCGACCGAUCGCUCGGGUUCGCUAACGCGAAGCCUGAAGUGCAAUCACUCGGGUUCAGUUAGAGCCCAACGCCUCGCUCGGGUUCAGUUAGAGCCAACGCCUCGCACACACGCGCGUACGUGUAUGAGAGAAACGCGCAUCGCUCGGCCCCCGACCUCCCACCGUAACCGGGAAGUCCCCGAAAUUUUCCUCGCCCUCGCUUCUACCACGGUUUUUUCCGUCAUGGACGGCCCAAAGAAUGUCAUGCAGCUGCGUCUCCGGCCCGCCCAGGACGAAAAGCCCAUUUUCUGUCAUGAUUUUUUGUCAUAGAAGUAGGAGCCCACCACAUCUAUAAUGAUACCGGUUUUUGUCACAAUUAUCGUCAUAGAAGUGUCAUAUGUAUGACAGAAAAAAAUUCGUUCGGCCCAAAAUGUCACGGAUGUGUCUUUUUUUUGUAGUGAAAGUUCUUCGUGCCGAGACACCACGUGAUGAUCGGGUGUGAUAGGCUCUACGUUCAAAUACAACGGGUGCAAACAGUUGCACACGCGGAAUACUCAGGUUAAACUUGACGAGCCUAGCAUAUGCAGAUAUGGCCUCGGAACACUGAGACUGAAAGGUCGAGCGUGAAUCAUAUAGUAGAUAUGAUCAACAUAGUGAUGUUCACCAUUGAAACUACUCCAUCUUACGUGAUGAUCGGACAUGGUUUAGUUGAUUUGGAUCUCGUGAUCAGUUAGAGGAUUAGAGGGAUGUCUAUCUAAGUGGGAGUUCUUAAGUAAUAUGAUUAAUUGAACUUAAAUUUAUCAUGAACUUAGUACCUGAUAGUAUCUUGCUUGUCUAUGUUGAUUGUAGACAGAUGGCCCGUGAUGUUGUUCCGUUGAAUUUUAAUGCGUUCCUUGAGAAAGCAAAGUUGAAAGAUGAUGGUAGCAAUUACACGGACUGGGUCCAUAACUUGAGGAUUAUCCUCAUUGCUGCAUAGAAGAAUUACGUCCUGGAAGCACCGCUAGGUGCCAGACCUGCUGCAGGAGCAACACCAGAUGUUAUGAACGUCUGGCAGAGCAAAGCUGAUGACUACUCGAUAGUUCAGUGUGCCAUGCUUUACGGCUUAGAACCGGGACUUCAACGAUGUUUUGAAUGCCAUGGAGCAUAUGAGAUGUUUCAGGAGUUCAAGUUAAUAUUUCAAGCAAAUGCCCGGAUUGAGAGAUAUGAAGUCUCCAAUAAGUUCUACAGCUGUAAGAUGGAGGAGAAUAGUUCUGUCAGUGAGCAUAUACUCAGAAUGUCUGGAUAUAACAAUCACUUGAUUCAACUGGGAGUUAAUCUUUCGGAUGAUAGCAUCAUUGACAGAAUUCUUCAAUCACUGCCACCAAGCUACAAAAGCUUCGUGAUGAACUAUAACAUGCAAGGGAUCGAUAAGACAAUUCCCGAGCUCUUCGCAAUGCUAAAAGCUGCGGAGGUAGAAAUCAAGAAGGAUCAUCAAGUGUUGAUGGUCAACACGACCACCAGUUUCAAGAAAAAGGGCAAAGGGAAGAAGAAGGGGAACUUCAAGAAGAACAGCAAAUAAGUUGCUGCUCAGGAGAAGAAACCCAAGUCUGGACCUAAGCCUGAGACUGAGUGCUUCUACUGCAAACAGACUGGUCACUGUAAGCGGAACUGCCCCAAGUAUUUGGCGGAUAAGAAGGAUGGCAAGGUGAACAAAGGUAUAUGUGAUAUACAUGUUAUUGAUGUGUACCUUACUAAUGCUCGCAGUAGCACCUGGGUAUUUGAUACUGGUUCUGUUGCUAAUAUUUGCAACUCGAAACGGGACUGCGGAUUAAGCGAAGAUUGACUAAGGACGAGGUGACGAUGCGUGUGGGAAAUGGUUCCAAAGUCGAUGUGAUCGCGGUCGGCACGCUACCUCUACAUCUACCUUCGGGAUUAGUUUUAGACCUAAAUAAUUGUUAUUUGGUGCCAGCGUUGAGCAUGAACAUUAUAUCUGGAUCUUGUUUGAGACGGUUAUUCAUUUAAAUCAGAGAAUAAUGGUUGUUCUAUUUAUAUGAGUAAUAUCUUUUAUGGUCAUGCACCCUUGAAGAGUGGUCUAUUUUUGUUGAAUCUCGAUAGUAGUGAUACUCAUAUUCAUAAUAUUGAAGCCAAAAGAUGCAGAGUUGAUAAUGAUAGCGCAACUUAUUUGUGGCACUGCCGUUUAGGUCAUAUUGGUGUAAAGCACAUGAAGAAACUCCAUAUUGAUGGACUUUUGGAACCACUUGAUUAUGAAUCACUUGGUACUUGCGAACCAUGCCUCAUGGGCAAGAUGACUAAAACGCCGUUCUCCGGAACUAUGGAGCGAGCAACAGAUUUGUUGGAAAUCAUACAUACAGAUGUAUGUGGUCCGAUGAAUGUUGAGGCUCGCGGCGGGUAUCGUUAUUUUCUCACCUUCACAGAUGAUUUAAGCAGAUAUGGGUAUAUCUACUUAAUGAAACAUAAGUCUGAAACAUUUGAAAAGUUCAAAGAACUUCAGAGUGAAGUUGAAAAUCAUCGUAACAAGAAAAUAAAGUUUCUACGAUCUGAUCGUGGAGGAGAAUAUUUGAGUUACGAGUUUGGUCUUCAUUUGAAACAAUGUGGAAUAGUUUCGCAACUCACGCCACCCGGAACACCACAACGUAAUGGUGUGUCCGAACGUCGUAAUCGCACUUUACUAGAUAUGGUGCGAUCUAUGAUGUCUCUUACUGAUUUACCGCUAUCUUUUUGGGGUUAUGCUUUAGAGACGGUUGCAUUCACGUUAAAUAGGGCACCAUCAAAAUCCGUUGAGACGACAACUUAUGAACUGUGGUUUGGCAAGAAACCAAAGUUGUCGUUUCUUAAAGUUUGGGGCUGCGAUGCUUAUGUGAAAAAGCUUCAACCUGAUAAGCUCGAACCCAAAUCAGAGAAAUGUGUCUUCAUAGGAUACCCAAAGGAAACUGUUGGGUACACCUUCUAUCACAGAUCUGAAGGCAAGACUUUUGUUGCUAAAUUUGGAUCCUUUCUAGAGAAGGAAUUUCUCUCGAAAGAAGUGAGUGGGAGGAAAGUAGAACUUGAUGAGGUAACUGUACCUGCUCCCUUAUUGGAAAGUAGUUCAUCACAGAAACCGGUUCCUAUGACCCCUACACCAAUUAGUGAGGAAGUUAAUGAUGAUGAUCAUGAAACUUCAGAUCAAGUUGUUACUGAACCUCGUAGGUCAACCAGAGUAAGAUCCGCACCAGAGUGGUACGGUAAUCCUGUUCUGGAGGUUAUGUUACUAGACCAUGACGAACCUACGAACUAUGAAGAAGCGAUGGUGAGCCCAGAUUCCGCAAAAUGGCUUGAGGCCAUGAAAUCUGAGAUGGGAUCCAUGUAUGAGAACAAAGUGUGGACUUUGGUUGACUUGCCCGAUGAUCGGCAAGCCAUUGAGAAUAAAUGGAUCUUCAAGAAGACUGACACUGACGGUAAUGUUACCGUCUAUAAAGCUCGACUUGUUGCAAAAAGGUUUUCGACAAGUUCAAGGGAUUGACCACGAUGACACUUUCUCACCCGUAGCGAUGCUUAAGUCUGUCUGAAUCAUGUUAGCAAUUGCCGCAUUUUAUGAUUAUGAAAUUUGGCAAAUGGAUGUCAAAACUGCAUUUCUGAAUGGAUUUCUAGAAGAAGAGUUGUAUAUGAUGCAACCAGAAGGUUUUGUCGAUCCAAAGGGAGCUAACAAAGUGUGCAAGCUCCAGCGAUCCAUUUAUGGACUGGUGCAAGCCUCUCAGAGUUGGAAUAAACGCUUUGAUAGUGUGAUCAAAGCAUAUGGUUUUAUACGGACUUUUGGAGAAGCCUGUAUUUACAAGAAAGUGAGUGGGAGCUCUGUAGCAUUUCUGAUAUUAUAUGUGGAUGACAUAUUGCUGAUUGGAAAUGAUAUAGAAUUUCUGGAUAGCAUAAAGGGAUACUUGAAUAAGAGUUUUUCAAUGAAGGACCUCGGUGAAGCUGCGUAUAUAUUGGGCAUCAAGAUCUAUAGAGAUAGAUCAAGACGCUUAAUUGGACUUUCACAAAGCACAUACGUUGACAAAGUUUUGAAGAAGUUCAAAAUGGAUCAAGCAAAGAAAGGAUUUUUGCCUGUGUUACAAGGUGUGAAGUUGAGUAAGACUCAAUGCCUGACCACAGCAGAAGAUAGAGAGAAGAUGAAAGAUGUUCCCUAUGCUUCAGCCAUAGGCUCUAUCAUGUAUGCAAUACUGUGUACCAGACCUGAUGUGUGCCUUGCUAUAAGUUUAGCAGGGAGGUACCAAAGUAAUCCAGGAGUGAAUCACUGGACAACGGUCAAGAACAUCCUGAAAUACCUGAAAAGGACUAAGGAUAUGUUUCUCGUUUAUGGAGGUGACAAAAAAAUAGUUGUAAAUGGUUACGUCGAUGCAAGCUUUGACACUGAUCCGGACGAUUCUAAAUCGCAAACCGGAUAUGUAUUUACAUUGAACGGUGGAGCUGUAAGUUGGUGCAGUUCUAAACAAAGCAUUGUGGCGGGAUCUACGUGUGAAGCGGAGUACAUAGCUGCUUCGGAAGCAGCAAAUGAAGGAGUCUGGAUGAAGGAAUUCAUAUCCGAUCUAGGUGUCAUACCUAGUGCAUCGGGUCCAAUGAAAAUCUUUUGUGACAAUACUGGUGCAAUUGCCUUGGCAAAGGAAUCCAGAUUUCACAAGAGAACCAAGCACAUCAAGAGACGCUUCAACUCCAUCCGGGAUCAAGUCCAGGUGGGAGACAUAGAAAUUUGCAAGAUACAUACGGAUCUGAAUGUUGCAGACCCGUUGACUAAGCCUCUUCCACGAGCAAAACAUGAUCAGCACCAAGGCUCCAUGGGUGUUAGAAUCAUUACUGUGUAAUCUAGAUUAUUGACUCUAGUGCAAGUGGGAGACUGAAGGAAAUAUGCCCUAGAGGCAAUAAAAAAGUUAUUAUUUAUUUCCUUAUAUCAUGAUAAAUGUUUAUUAUUCAUGCUAGAAUUGCAUUAACCGGAAACAUAAUACUUGUGUGAAUACAUAGACAAACAGAGUGUCACUAGUAUGCCUCUACUUGACUAGCUCGUUGAUCAAAGAUGGUUAUGUUUCCUAGCCAUUUACAUGAGUUGUCAUUUGAUUAACGGAAUCACAUCAUUAGGAGAAUGAUGUGAUUGACUUGACCCAUUCCGUUAGCUUAGCACUCGAUCGUUUAGUAUUCUGCUAUUGCUUUCUUCAUGACUUAUACAUGUUCCCAUACUAUGAGAUUAUGCAACUCCCGUUUACCAGAGGAACACUUUGUGUGCUACCAAACGUCACAACGUAACUGGGUGAUUAUAAAGGUGCUCUACAGGUGUCUCCCAAGGUACUUGUUGGGUUGGCGUAUUUCGAUAUUAGGAUUUGUCACUCCGAUUGUCGAAGAGGUAUCUCUGGGCCCACUCGGUAAUGCACAUCACUAUAAGCCUUGCAAGCAUUGCAACUAAUGAGUUAGUUGCGGGAUGAUGUAUUACGGAAUGAGUAAAGAGACUUGCCGGUAACGAGACUGAACUAGGUAUUAAGAUACCGACGAUCGAAUCUCGGGCAAGUAACAUACCGAUGACAAAGGGAACAACGUAUGUUCUUAUGCGGUUUGACCGAUAAAGAUCUUCGUAGAAUAUGUAGGAGCCAAUAUGAGCAUCCAGGUUCCGCUACUGGUUAUUGACCGGAGACAUGUCUCGGUCAUGUCUACAUAGUUCUCGAACCCGUAGGGUCCGCACGCUUAAAAUUCGAUGACAGUUAUAUUAUGAGUUUAUGUGUUUUGAUGCACCGAAGAUAGUUCGGAGUCCCGGAUGUGAUCACGGACAUGACGAGGAGUCUUGAAAUGGUCGAGACAUAAAGAUUGAUAUAUUGGAAGCCUAUAUUUGGAUAUCGGAAGUGUUCCGGGUGAAAUCAGGAUUUUACGGGAGUACCGGGGGUUACCGGAACCCCCUCGGGGGUUUAAUGGGCCAAGAUGGGCCUUAGUGGAGAAGAGGAGGGGCGGCCAGGGCAGGCCGCGCGCACCCUCCCGGGGCGGCGCCCCCCUUUCCUUCCUCUCUCCCUCCUCCUUCCCCCUUCUCCUACUCAAACUAGGAAAGGAGGGACUCCUCCCUGGCGCGCCUCCUCCUGGCCGGCCGCCUCUCCCCCCUUGCUCCUUUAUAUACGAGGGCAGGGGGGCACCUCUAGACACAACAAUUGAUCCCUUGGAUCUCUUAGCCGUGUGCGGUGCCCCCCUCCACCAUAGUCCACCUCGAUAAUAUUGUAGCGGUGCUUAGGCGAAGCCCUGCGUCGGUAGAACAUCAUUAUCGUGCUGACGGAACUCUCCCUCAAAGCUCGGCUGGAUCGGAGUUCGAGGGACGUCAUCGAGCUGAAUGUGUGCUGAACUCGGAGGUGCCGUGCGUUCGGUACUUGAUCGGUCAGAUCGUGAAGACGUACGACUACAUCAACCGCGUUGUGCUAACGCUUCCGCUUUCGGUCUACGAGGGUACGUGGACAACACUCUCCCCUCUCGUUGCUAUGCAUCACCAUGAUCCUGUGUGUGCGUAGGAGUUUUUUUUGAAAUUACUACGUUCCCCAACAAGUUGAUCACGGGAUGAUGUGUUACGGAAUGAGUAAAGAGACUUGCCGGUAACGAGAUUGAACAAGGUAUAGGGAUACCGAUGAUCGAAUCUCGGGCAAGUAUCAUACCGGUAGACAAAGGGAAUUGUAUACGGGGUUGAUUGAAUCCUCGACAUCGUGGUUCAUCCGAUAAGAUCAUCGUGGAACAUGUGGGAGCCAACAUGGGUAUCCAGAUCCCGCUGUUGGUUAUUGACCGGAGAGAUGUCUCGGUCAUGUCUACAUGCCUCCCGAACCCGUAGGGUCUACACACUUAAGGUUCGAUGACGCUAGGGUUAUAGAGAAAGUUUGUAUGUGGUUACCGAAUGUUGUUCGGAGUCCCGGAUGAGACCCCGGACGUCACGAGGAGUUCCGGAAUGGUCCGGAGGUAAAGAAUAAUAUAUAGGAAGUGAGGUUUUGGCCACCGGAAGUAUUUCGGGCGUCACUGGUAAUGUAUCGGGACCACCGGAAGGGUUCCGGGGGUCCACCGGGAGGGGCCACCAGCCCCAGAGGCUUGCAUGGGCCAAGAGUGGGAAGGGACCAGCCCCUGAGUGGGCUGGUGCGCCUCCCACCAAGGCCCAAGGCGCAGUUAGGAGGAGGGGGAAACCCUAGGCACAGAUGGGCCUAAAGGCCCACCCUAGGGCACGCCCCCCUCUCUCCCCCUCUUGGCCGCCCCUCCAAUCCCAUCUAGGGCUGCCGCACCCCCUAGGGUGGGAAACCUAGAGGGGGCGCAGCCACCUCCCCUCCUCCUAUAUAUAGUGGGGGUUUUGGGGCUGCCAAAGACACGAGUCUCUCUCUCUCUCGGCGCAGCCCUACCUCUCCACAUCCUUGUCCUUCGUAGUUCUUGGCGAAGCCCUGCUGUAAACCACGCUGCUCCACCACCACCACGCCGUCGUGCUGCUGCUGGAGUUGUCUUCCCCAACCUCUCCCUCCUCCUUGCUGGAUCAAGGCGCGGGAGACAUCACCGGGCUGCACGUGUGUUGAACGCGGAGGCGCCGUUGUUCGGCGCUUAGAUCCGGAAUCGACCGCGAUCUGAAUCGCUGCGUGUAUGACUCCUCCAACCGCGUUCUAGUAACGCUUCUGCAUCGCGAUCUUCAAGGGUAUGAAGAUACACUUCCCUUUCUCUCGUUGCUAGUCUCUCCAUAGAUUGAUCUUGGUGAUGCGUAGAAAAUUUUAAUUUCUGCAACGAUCCCCAACAUUCAAUACCUGUCUCGCUACCCCUGCUUUGUCACUGGGUGAAAUCACGCAAGAUUGAACCCAAAGCUAAGCACCUCUCCCAUUGCAAGAAAAACCAAUAUAGUUGGCCAAACCAAACCAAUAAUUCGAAGAGAAAUACAAAGAUAUCAAAUCAUGCAUAAAAGAAUUCAGAGAAGAUUCAAAUAAUAUUCAUAGAUAAGUUGAUCAUAAAUCCACAAUUCAUCAGAUCUCGACAGACACACCGCAAAAAGAAGAUUAAAUUGGAUAGAUCUCCAAGAACAUCAAGGAGAACGUUGUAUUGAGGAUCAAAGAGAGAGAAUAAGCCAUCUAGCUACUAGCUAUGGACCCGUAGGUCUGAGGUAAACUACUCACGCUUCAUCGGAAGGGCAAUAGAGUUGAUGUAGAUGCCCUCCGUGAUCGAAUCCCCCUCUGGCAGGAUGCCGAAAAAGGCCCCAAGACGGGAUCUCACGGGAACAGAAGGUUGUGGCGGUGGAAAAGUGUUUUCGUGGAUGCUUCUGGUGGUUUGGGAAUAUAUGUGAAUACAUAGGAGGAAGAUCUAGGUCAGGGGGUCACCGAGGGGCCCACAAGGUAGGGGGCGCGCCCUCCACCCUUGUCGCCGCCUCGUGGCUCUUUUGACUUCAACUCAAAGUCUCCUGGGUGUCUUCUGGUCCAAGAAAAAUCAUCGUGAAGUAUUAUUUCGUUUGGACUCCUUUUGGUAUUCCUUUUCUGCGAAUCUCAAAAACAAGGAAAAAACAUAAAGUGACACUGGGCUCUAGGUUAAUAGGUUAGUUCCAAAAAUAAUAUAAAAUAGCAUAUUAAAGCAUAUAAAACAUCCAAAACAGAUAAUAUAAUAGCAUGGAACAAUCAAAAAUUAUAGAUACGUUGGAGAUGUAUCAAUGCUCUUGGGGUGCCUUUUCGGCACAAGGGCGAAGCGGGUUACGAUGAUGGCCAAGCGGCAUAUGUAGCAGUUGUCGCCCAUGCUGCCCAUCAGAAGACGGUGGCCAUGGUGAUUGUCGGGUGGUAGGUGCGACAUAUGCCAACGGGUGGCUUAUCAUUGUGGGAGCCAGUAAGACGUCGCCGGUGCCUGGAAACGGGAUGAGGCAAAGACAUGCACGCCAGCGAAUCUUACCCAGGUUCGGGGCUCUCCGUGGAGAUAACACCCCUAGUCCUGCUCUGCGGGGUCUCCGCAUGAUCACUAGAUCAAGACAAGUAGCUACAAGUGCUCCUUGAGCUGUCGGGUUAGAGGGAGAAGAAGGGCAAGGCUAGCUCUCCUUUUCUCUCUAUGUGGUGUGUGUAAUUCUAUGAGACCAACCCUUUGCAUGGGUGUCCCGGGGGUUUAUAUAGGCCUACCCCCUAGGGGUACAAUGGUAAUCCGGCUGGGCGCGGGUCCUAGCCAUCAAUGUCUAUGCUCGCCGGCUUCUCCACCGGUCAUUGGGGCCCGCCGACUGGUGGGUCCCGCCGGCUGCCGGCUUCUUGGCCGGCACGCCGGCCCCAUCGCAUGGGGGCUUUGUCGGCGGCUGGUUACUGUUGCCUCGCCUCUGAUGACGAGGGCUUUGUCGAGGUAAGCGUGGCUACAGUGUCGCCGCCUUGCGAGCUCUCACUGUAGCCUUACCUCGUCUUGUCUCCUUAAUGGGGCGCAUGCUUCGAGGGAGGGAGGUAGCCGGCUAUUGGGAGCCGGCCACAUCCCUGGCCGACUAGAGGAGGCCGGGCCGUCUUCAGAUGUCUCUUUGGCAAAGGGGCCGCCGCCCGCGGGCCGUUCUGGCACCUGUCGUGGGUGACGUCGGGGCCAACAUGGCUACAGUGCCGCGCCGGACGGGGGAUGGCUGGCCCGUACGGCGCCCUGUGGCCAUGCCUGUUCCGGGAUUCGGGGGUAGUGGGCUGUACUGUGGCCACACCCCAUCGUACCGCCGCUAUGAGGGUUCAGUCUUGGUGGGUGUAAUCUUGGCCGGCUUCCGGGAGCCGGCUUUCUUCGUGGCCGGCUUCUGGGAGUCGGUCUUCUUGGGGCCGGCUUCCCGGAGUCGGCCAUCUCGUAUCUUUCUUGGAGAAGGUUUUUGGGGCUGGGUCGCCUUCUGGGAGUCGGCCCUGGGGGUAGCCGGCCGGGGAAAGGUGGCCCUAGGCUUUGUAUGCUUGAAGGCUCGAAUGGCCUGAUAAUUUUCCGAAGAGCCAGGGAAGUCGGUUAGGCUACCCGUGGCCAUUUAGUCCGACAGUGAUCCUCUUCUCCGGCGGAAGGCUAAUGGCGUAGUGGAUUUGGCUAGUAUGAUGCUGGCUGGUAUUGUCCCCAACCUCAGUGGUUGCAACAGUGGCCAUAUGGCGCUGCCUGAGGAGUUUCGAACUUCCGAUCCGACAACAACGACGAUUUCUUGCGUCAGAUGGUUAGUGGUUUGCAUUGAGGACAAUGGAGGUAGUUUUGCGUGUCGCGCAACAUGCUUCAUGGCCUCAGAUCUACCAUGUUCCGUCUUGACAUGUUCCCCUGCCAGUAUAUGCAAGAACAAUGGAAGCAAGAGAGGCAUCAGGUAAAGUAAAUCUCAAGUGAUGAACCGCCUGCUAAUCUACCAUGGUUAACUCGCGUAACCCACCAGUAAGUUGGCGGUUCAUCACCAACAUUUCAUGGAUCCACCAACAAGAUACCAAUUCCUCACUAGGCAGCGCGUGGUGUUGUGGUAUGAUGCAGACCAGCCAUCAGCUACCACUUGUGGGGAUGGUACGGGGCCUUUGGAUCGUCCCGAACUCGAGAUUUUGGCGGUGUCGGUCUCCUUCCUUCCUGUUAGAGACUUCACCAUGUUGUGUCGAGCGGCUCUCGUCGUGGCUCGUUAGCCUGCCACCAAGACCAUGCACGUAUUUAGCUGCUCGGAUCGAGGCAAGUGUACGAGCAACAUAGGAUGUCUUCGAUUGGGUGGUACUUCUUGGGUAAUUGGUCUCGAGCUUCGGGGAUGAACCUAGUUCUGGUCAUUUGGUUAUACCUGGCAAUGGCGACAUUCCGUUACCCUGAUGAAGCCAUUGCUUGGAGUUUCCUUGGAUCUGAUCUUUAGGAUGAAAACCCACGAUCUGAACUUCGGCAGUUGGAUCGGGUGACAAUGACGCUUGCACGUCCUUCUCUUUAUGAAGGCGUCGUUUUUGAAGAACCUUCCUCGUAGUCUUUAAGCUGUCAAGAGAUAGUUUGGUGCCGAUGGCCACUGUUUUAUGUUGUCAAUCAUUAUUUUUAUUGCUUUCAGUUUUUUUUCCUUUUAUUCUCGCCCAGGCAUAGCUUAGGUCUUUAUGACUUUGCUAUUUGUUGAUGUGAUUCUUCACGUGCUACUAGUGUUGGAUGUGUGCAUCUUAAAUAUAUAGAAGCCGGAUGUGUACUCCGGCCGGAUGUGUACUCGCUAUAAUUAUAUCCUCCUCGAUGCUACAUGUAUAAAUCAAUAAAAUACACUAUUCGUCGAAAAUCAGUCUAACCACCUCCAGCUAUUCCAGGCCAGACACCCCAGGCCUUUCCAGGACAGCAACCAAACGGCUUCCAAGAAAUUCCCAGCUCCGCUCAAGGCCGGGCAGAAUAAGGCAGCGGCACACGAACCAAACAGUCCUCGCUCGUUGAGUUUUUUACCCCGAGAGGCAUAGCGCUUGCGAAUAUCGACAUGGCAUUCGGCCGGGAUCACGACCGGGGAGAGUUUUCUGGGCUCACAAAAGCUGUGGAAGUGACAGAACGCCCAGAAGUUACCACCACACCCCACAAGGCAGAGAUCCUUUGCGGCUCAGAGGAAGCAGCAUCAGGUGCAAGAGGCCAGGCCGAAGGCUGGCACACAUUCCCCUCUCCCUUUCUGCUUUUCCCCUCCUCUCCUCUCCAGUGAAAAGGAAACCAGAGAACGAUGCCCUCCUAGAACACACUCCAAGGAUCCCCACCGAGAUGUAUAUAGCCUCGUGGUACCAAUCCAUUGGUUGCGACAGGAAUUCCGGCGGCGGAUAAUCAGUUAGCAUCAUCCUGUCCUGCUCUGCUGGUCUAGCUAGCUAGCCCGGUCCAUGCAAAUGCCGUUCUGCCCCAAGCUGUGGGAUCGGAGCCCGGUCCCGCCGGCGAACGCCAUCGCCGUCAAUGGCACCGUCGUCGUCGCCAACACCUUCGGCCUCUCCGCGCCCGGCAAGUCCACCACCCUGCGCCUCUUCAGCGGCACCCAAAUCGACCACGGUGAGUGCCCUGUCUGUCUAGUUGUUCGUGUGUUCGACUGUGACUGAUGCCGAGUGCGUGCAGAGACGGGGAAGGGGAAGCUGAGCCCGGAGGCCCCGCUGAGGGGCGGCAAGAAGAGCAAGCACGGGAAGACGAGCACGACGACGUACCACGUCACGUUCGUGGUGGACGCCGACUUCGGCACGCCGGGGGCCGUGUCCGUCCGGAACGGGAACCGCGCCGACCGGUUCUUCCUCCGCCACGUGCGGCUGGAGCUCGCCGAGGACCGCAGCAUCCACUUCGAGUGCAACUCCUGGGUGUACCCCUACAAGAAGACCGCCGCCGACCGCCUCUUCUUCGUCAACACGGUCAGAGCAGAGGCCAUUCGUUUGUGUUUGUUUGAUACCCUGCCCUGUCCUUGGUGAACUCGUGCAUGAAGGUUUUCUUCAUUCUUUCGUGGUGACCACCAUUGCCAGAGCUACCUGCCUUCCAAGACGCCGGAGGCGCUGGUGCUGCUGCGGGACGAGGAGCUGCGGAGCCUGCGAGGGGACGGCAAGGGAGAGCGCAAGGACUGGGAGCGCAUCUACGACUACGACCGCUACAACGACCUCGGCAACCCCGACAACCCGGAGCACGUCCGCCCGGUCGUCGGCGGCACCCGGACGCACCCCUACCCGCGCCGCUGCCGGACAGGCCGUGCCAUCAGCAACACCGGUACUGCUAGACUUGCUGCCAUUUCCAGCCGAUUUCAUUCAUCCUGAAUAACAAAUCUUGCAUCUCAUGGCUGGUUGUUCUAAUAAAGACGGCGUGACGGAGACGCGCAAGCACGUGAUCAACCUGGACUUCUACAUCCCGCCGGACGAGCGGUUCAGCCCGGGGAAGCUGGAGGAGGUGCUCAAGCUGGGGGUGCAGGCGGUGACGCACUUCGUGAUCCCAGAGGCGAGGACGCUGGUCCACGGCAACGACUUCAAGUCCAUGGAGCAGCUGAGGAAGGACCUGUACAGCAGGCCCGUGCAGCCGGCGGUGGACGGCGAGGUCAUGGAGAGGCUCAAGUCCUCCGUGCCGUCCCACAAGACCUACAAGCAGGUGGCCAAGGCCGUCAAGGAGGAGCACCCCGCCAAGUUCCCCAUCCCGCAAGUCAUCCAGCGUGAGUUUUCCCUCUCUGUUCUGCCGCCCAAUUCAUCAUGCGUCAAGUUUCAUCUUGGGAUGGUGAUCGAUCGAUCCAUGGUGCAGAGGAUCCUGAGGCGUGGAGGAGCGACGAGGAGUUCGCGAGGGAAAUGCUUGCAGGGCUCAACCCUGUUGCCAUCAAGAGAUUACAAGUAACUACUACUAGUAAUUCAUCUCAUCGUCCUGAAUUUUCUUGACUGAAAACUUGCAGCGCGUGCAUUGAGAUUGAGUGACUUCCAAAUGUUCUACUCUUAGACGUUUCCGCCGGUGAGCAGUGGCGGGAAGAGGAGCUCGAUAACCGCCGAGCACAUCAAGAGCCAGCUUGGAGAUGUAACCAUUGAAAUGGUUAGGAAAACUUCUCCCUGUUCUCCUUCGUGUAUGAUGUCUCUGCUUGGUAUGCAUGAUGCACAUACAAUAUCCCUGUAAAUGCAGGCAAUGCAUCAGAAGAGGCUGUACAUCCUGGACCACCAUGACUACCUGAUGCCGUACCUGAGGCGCAUAAACACGCUGGGCGUGUGCAUCUACGCGUCGCGCACGCUGCUGUUCCUCAAGGCCGACGGGACCCUCAAGCCGGUCGUGAUCGAGCUGAGCCUGCCCAGCGACGGCGAGGGCGACACCGAGCUGAGCCGGGUCUUCCUCCCCGCGACCCACGGCACCGAGGGCCAUCUGUGGCAGCUCGCCAAGGCCCACGUCUCCGUCAACGACUCGGGGUACCAUCAGCUCAUCAGCCACUGGUGAGGACGAAAAGUUCCAUUCUACUAGUCAUCAUCUGCACACAAGUCGACAAACUGAGUCACUGACACGGGCGGCCAAAUGAAGGCUGUUCACGCACGCGGCGGUGGAGCCGUUCAUCAUCGCGACCAGGAGGCAGCUGAGCGCCAUGCACCCCAUCCACAAGCUCCUGGAGCCGCACUUCAAGGACACCAUGCAGAUCAACACCCUGGCCAGGAGCAUACUGCUCAACGCCGGCGGCAUCCUGGAGCGGACCAUGUACCCGGGGAAGUACGCCGUGGAGAUGUCCUCCGCCAUCUACGGCGACUGGAGGUUCACCGAGCAGUCCCUGCCAAAUGAUCUCCUCAAGCGGUACCCAGACCAUUUCUCUUUGAUUUUUCACUUGAUUUUUUUAGGACAACAAAUGACAAUCUAACGAGCUGUAAUGUAAUUGUUAUUCUUGUAUCUGAAGGGGGAUGGCCUCCAGCUCCAAUGAGCCCGGCGGCCUGACCCUGCACAUCGAGGACUACCCGUACGCCGUCGACGGCCUCGAGGUAUGGCACGCCAUCGACGGGUGGGUGCGCAGCUACUGCGCCCACUUCUACCACAGCGACAAGGAGGUGGACGGCGACGCGGAGCUGCAGGCGUGGUGGCACGACGUCCGGACCGUCGGCCACGGCGACCGGCAGGGCGACCAGGCGUGCUGGCUGGCGCUGGACACCGUCGACCACCUCGCCCAGACGCUGUCGACGCUCAUCUGGAUCGCCUCCGCGCUGCACGCGGCCGUCAACUUCGGGCAGUACGCCUACGCGGGGUUCCCGCCGAACCGGCCCACCCGGUGCCGCCGGUUCGUGCCGCUCCCGGGGUCGCCGGAGAUGACGCAGCUGGAGGCCGACCCGGAGAAGUUCUUCCUGGAGAUGGUGCCCGACAGGUUCACCGCCACGCUGGGGCUGGCGCUCAUCGAGGUGCUGUCCAACCAUACCUCCGACGAGGUCUACCUCGGGCAGCGCGCCACGUCCACGUGGACGGACGACGGCCAGCUGCUGCGCCUGCUGGACCGGUUCCGGGAGGACCUCCGGCGGGUGGAGAGGCGGGUGGAGGAGAGGAACAAGGACCCGCGGCUCAAGAACCGGAGGGGGCCGGCCAAGGUGCCGUACACGCUCUUGUUCCCGGAUGUCGCCGGCCAGGAGAAGGGGCUCACGGGGAAAGGGAUACCCAAUAGCGUCUCCAUAUGAUCGAUCCACGUGUAUAUGACUAUGUAAAUUUAUCUUCAUUUGGGUUUUGGGUGUUCUUUUAUGAUUGGGGGUGAUGCGGAUUUCUUUGUUGGUUUGAGUUUUAGUAUUUGUUUGUGUAAAAUGGUGAUCGGCUUGAGAUUCAAAAAAAUGAAAAUGGUGCUUGCUGUUCGGAAACCGAUCUCACAAAAGGGUCAUCUCCCUUGUCAAAGACAAAACUGUUGGACUCCUAUUACCCUAGCACGUCAUGUUUUUUUUUCAAUAAAGACACUUUUAACUUAAAAUGUGACAUCAAACGGAUAAAAACAAAUAGAACUGAAUAACACUUCAUGUCCGCAUGUCGCGACCCGUGACUGGUGGUGCUAGCAUGCGCGCCUCGUCGCCCUGCCUCGUACUAUGUCCUUCAUGUCCUCCAUGCGCUCACCCUCUAGGACUUGACUGUUGCAAGGCAAACAAAUGUGAACUGAAAUUCUAGAGGACCGAACGUUCUCCCAACAAUAUUCUAUCACAAUGCGGUAUGCUAAGUUUAUACUACCUCGUAUUUGUGUCAAGUUUUUAUCAUAGAUUGUAAAAGUUAUACCGAUGCAAAAAAUAAAUAGAAGUUAUAUGUAUUACUAUAUUAGAUGCAUAAUCAAAUUUUGACUCAAAAUACAAAUAGAGCUAAUAAACCUGAUUGGGGAGGUAAUUACAGGUCAUUUCCGAACACGCACACCCAGCACUUGGGAUGGGAAUGGGUUCUUCCCAUGGAGAUUCAAGACCCCCAGGUUCUGGCUAAUUUAGAAGGACUGAACUUUUCUCUGAGAUUCACAAUACCCCUCUGAAAGACAUAAGGUUCCCAGCCAGCCCCUCGGACAUGGAGCCAACCAACUUGAUGUCCAAACCUACCACUUUGUUGCCUUCUUUCCAACUGCUAACGCCAAAAAUCACAAGACAUGCUGCCCAAUGUCAAACCAGGCCAAUAAGAAUGAAUAUUGCAUUAAAAAUUUCAGUGUUUACAAGUAAAUUCAGCAUGAGCUACAGCUCCGACAUAGCAAUGUUCUCCAUAAAAGAAUUACUCGGAUGUAGUCAUAACAAGACACAGUAGAAUAGUAACACGCUUGGAUGCGCCAUCAAAACUUUUCUCUCGUGAUAAGGGGGGAGACCGGCGUGCUUCAGCAUGUUCUGCAUCAGCACUGGACUUUCCUCACUUGUAUAUGGUGGGUAGAUUCUUCUCUCCAGAUCGACUGCGACCCGCUCUGAACCAGGGUGACAUAGUCCCCUUCAUUCAUGUAUUUCGCAUCCUGUCGAAAUGUCCAAGAAACCAAUGAUUGAUCAGAACGAAACUUGGGGACUUUGGGGAGCGAAACUUCAUGACAAACCAGCAUGUUUAUAUUGUCGGAAUGGUGAUAAAAGAUUGACUUUGUGAAGCACAUGGACUUACCAGCAAGCUGGUAAUUGCUCUUGAGAAAGUCUCUUCUGCGUCAUCUGAGAACUCCAUGAGAAUAGGAACCACGCCCUGAUAGAGUGCCAGCCGUUGCUUCACUCGUACUCUGCAAUAACAGCGGAAUGAUAUCAUCAAUACUCCAGAGCAUCUAUUUCCCAUUCUGAUCAUUUAUUUGAGUGGAUGCUAGGUAUCACAGAUCAACGCAAAACCCACUCCCAUAGUAGAUUUCACAAGAGGAAAGCACCGUGGUUAAAAACCACAAAAGAACAUACUCAUUAGUGAAUGCAUAUAUGGUGGACGAGGGACGGUAGUGGCUCAGAAGGACAGCCAUGGAGCCCACACGUGUAAACACAAUGAUCGGUGUACGAAGGGUGUUCGCCAUCAUUGUAGCAUGAGAUCCGAACAUUUUACUUAAUUGGCUUUUGCAGAAGUCAUCGUUGAGCAGCGCCUACAAGAAUAAUCAUGAGAAAACAUGGGUUAAAACAAAAGGUAUAAGAUGGUUGGAGUCUAAGUAGUAAACAUCAAAUAGAGCAGAAGGCACCGCAUAGUGGGUUGAAAGUGCAGCAGCUGGAAAAAAGCGAUCAUACCUUUGGACGUGCAACAAGACUGGGAGCUUUAGUUGGGUCGUAUAGGCUGGAUUCUGUUCUAAGUGCCACAGUGUGCAUCACCUUCACUGCCUUCAAUGGGUACCUAAGCACAUGAAAAAGCACAGAUGUAAGUCCAAUGCAAUGUUAUAGACCAAUGUAGAUCUGUACCCUCUAGAAAUGCCUCUGUGAUUGCUUAAUUGAUAUACACAAUAACACAAAUAAAAGGGAUUUAAAAGCUAUGACAGGUUAAAACUUACUUCCCGUGGGCAGUUUCACCAGAUAGCAUAAUGGCAUCAGCAGCUUCCCGAACAGCAAUGGCUAUAUCAGAGACUUCAGCCCUUGUUGGAGUUGGAUGAUCUAUCAUGCUUUCCAACAUAUUUGUUGCAACAAUUACUGGUUUCUGCAUGCUUCGGCAUGUUCUGAUAAUCUCCUCCUGUAAAGGUAAAAUAGUUGCAGUUUAAAUGCAACUGAUGCUUGGUUGCAUUUUAGGUAUAUUAAGAAAAAGUACAAAAGGAUGAAUCUUUUUUUUUACUCCAAAAUUUAUAUAGACAUGCUCUGAUAAAUGCAGUGGUUUUUUUAGUCUCACCUGUAGUAAAGGAACUUCCUCAAUUGGAAGUUCAGCACCAAGAUCUCCACGAGCCACCAUUGCCUAUGAACAUUUCAAGAAGUUCAGUAUUUAGCAGUAAUAAAUUACAGUGUUCAGGAUAUCGGUAACUGGUACCAUAUCAGUCGGGGCUGAUAAGGGAUUAAUCGGCGAAUCGGCCAUUUAACUGAAUAUAUCGGUAACCCAUUUAUCGGUAGGUUAACUAGGGCCAUAUCUAUAUAUCCGAGGCUACAUAGCAACAUACAUUGUACUGAAUGUCUAAAUGUGCAAUCCUAGGCUACAUAGCAACAAGGAAGAGUACCUUGAUGUUCUGAUGAUACAUAGAUCAACAUAGAAGAGCACAAACAACAACAACAACAACACAGCACCAGCAAUUGUACAUCACUAUCUAACAUCAAAUGAGAGCAGCACAGUAACAGUACUAUCUAGAAACAUAAGAGAACAGCACAGCAGCAGCAGUACAUCAGCAUUUACAGAACAACACGAGUUGUGCUUCUGUUCUUGGCAUAGGAGAGUAGUUUUGGGCCAAAAUAUCUCAGUUAAUCGGCACAGCCGAUAAUUCAGCCUGACAACCGAUAAAUCGGCUUGUCAGACCGAUUAACUGGGCCUCCCAGUUAAUGGGCCGAAUAGGCUUUUCUCGUAUCGGAGGGGGGUCGAACAGCAGUUAACUGCAGUUAAAUCGGCCGAUAUUUGUAACAAUGAUAAAUUAGUCCACUAAGGUUGCAAAAUAUAUAUUUUUUUGUUAUCACAAACAUAAGACCUGCAUGCAGCAUGUGCAGGAUAAAUCUAGACUUAAAUAGACCAAUGGAAUUCAUACGCCAUAUAAGAAUGAUGUGUUUGAAGUUUCAAUAAACAUGAUCCACUACUCACUCAUGACAGCUAUCUAAGGAAAUGUACAUGUGGGAAGGAGUUGCUAUUUGUUUUGACAUGAAUGAACUAAUACAUUCAAGGCCUUACCCCAUCUGAAGCAGCAAUAAUGGACUGGAGGUUUGGGAUUGAAUCAGCACUCUCAAUUUUUGGAAUAACAUGUAUAUCCGCAUUAGCACCUGGGUAUGAAAGAGCAAAGAAAAUAUUGAGUAAGCUCCCAAUAUAGAUAUCCAGGACUUCCAUAGAUGAUAGAGAACAUUACUUUUCAGGUAAGCCUUGAGUUCAUGAAUAACUUUGGCAUCCUUCACAAACGAAACAGCAUAGAAAUCAACACCGUUUUCAACGCCAAACUUGAUAUCUUCCCAAUCCUUCUCUGUUGGGGCAGAAGCAUGUCAUGUCAGGAUUUUGUGCACACCUAUGAGACAAUUGAACAUGUUAAGGAAGAAACCAAUUAACCUGUUAUAGAUGGCAGAGUUGCGCUCUUUCCGCGCACAUUAAGGUGGCGCCUUGAUUUCAACUCCCCACCAUCGACUACUACACACUUGACUGUGUCAGCUGUUUUCGACUUCACAGCAAGCGACAUCAUUCCUCCUGUUAACACAAACAAUGCAAUGAAGGAUUAGUAACUCCAACGUUCUGUAUUGUUUACCUGCAAACAAGACAAUUUGAUUUUAAAGGACAGCCAAAUAAUCUGAUAGAAUGAAGAGUAAAACUCCCUCUCUGACAGUGUCUAAGAGAAAAUAUGAGUAGUCUAAGACACGGCCAAAUAACAAUAUGAGUAGUCUAAGACACGGCCACACUCUACAAAGCAACACAUUGACCAUAAUUUUCUAAAAGAAUAUGUUGCUCCCUAUGCCGAUAAUUAUUUCUAUAUUGAUGCUCAAUACCUAAAAAAUGUUUGAGUGGCACAAAAUUUAAAACUGCUAAUAUUAUGGAAUAGCAGGAUUAGAGUUUUAACCAGGAAAGGUUGUAGAGAAAAUAUGAGGGCAUGCACUUACUUUAAAGAGAAUUUAAUCAUCAACAUUAAAUUAUUAGCUAAAUGGUGACAGGCCAGUCCUCACCAUCCACCAACAGUAUGUCACCAGCUUCAACAUCGCUUAUGAAGUCAUCAUAAUUCACGCUGACAGUGUCUUCGGUGCUCACCCCUCUUUUAAUCGUGAAAUUGAACUCUUGACCUUCCGCAAGCAUGAUUGGCUCAGGAAGAUCCCCACUUCGCACUUCCGGACCCUGCAUCACUUAACCUUAAUCAUCUUGCCGCAUUUGACUGCUGCAUUUAAUUUAAUGAAUUAAAUCGUGCACACCUUUGUGUCCAGCAUAAUAGCAACAGUAUUGCCAUCAGUGUUCUGUGCGUUGUACUCCUUGACCAAAUCAAUCACUUUUUGGUGUGACUGGUGGUCUCCAUGGGACAUAUUCAUACGCGCAACAUUCAUUCCAGUCUCUGCAAGCUUCCAUAUCAUCUCACGAGUGUUGGUCGAGGGGCCUAUGGUGCAGACUAUCUUUGUCUUCCUCCUGGGAGUCGCAUCCACUGCUUGUGAGGUGGCGUCAGUACUGACAUCAGUAUUGCUCUGCAUGCAAACAAGAUAAAUCUGUCACUGAAUGAACCACAUGUUUCGAACAGUUAAUUCUCUCAUCCCGUUUAGCAUAUCGCAAAGCAAAAGUGGCAGGGAAACAAAUGGGUUGUUAGCUAAACAUUCCAGAAAUGGCUCAAGAGGUGCCAUAGAGGUUGAAUUGCCUAGGAAUCAGAAACCAAACCUUUCGGCUCCAAUAAUCAUCAGCCAGCCAUUUUUCAAGUUCGGACUGCUUUUUUUGGUUUUUAUUUAUUUGUUGUAGUAAGAUCAGAGCAAUAUUAAAGGGAGCUUGCAGUUCCCCGAAUGUAAUGUGGUAGAGAUGAGUAGAUCAAAAGCUCUAUACGGGCGAGGCUACCGCAAGCUGGAGCAGAUCACGUGGGAGUCUCAAGCAGUGCGCUCGGGAUCAGACCAUCGGUCACUAACGAAGUGCGCCGCAAGGACGACGCUAUAAGUAAGCACAAACAAACAAAUCCCAGCAAGACAGGAAACGGCGAACCCAACCGCGGUGCUCGGGAUCAAAAUCGCCGAACACUGCAAGAGCGCGGAGCGACCAGGCCAGCCGCUGCUGGAGCGGCCCGCAUCGAACACCGAGAGCAUGAGUCCAGUCUGUACUCAGCGCGCAUGGAGCAGCACCAGGGAAGCAGGGAGAGAGAGCCGGCGGACGCUCACCAGGGCGGAGAGGGAGCCGUUGGUCCCGGCGACGGAGAGAUCCGCCGCCACCUUCUCGGAGGCGGAGGUCCGCAGCACCCGCGCGGCGACCGCCCGCCUGGGCUGCGGGGGCGCCGCCACCGUCGCGGCCGGCCUGGCCGCGCGCGCCGUCGCGGCGAACCCGCGCACCAUCUCCGCCGCCGCCGCCGCCAUUGUUCGGAGGACGCCCCGCGGUUCGCGCUAGAGACGGGAAUAGGGAGGAGCUGGUGGUCGUGGAGGGAGAGGCCGCGGGCGACGCGAGGGUUAAUGUUGGGAGGAGCUGCGAGGAGGGGAGCACCGCCUGUUCCCUCCGUGGGCCGGGCCUUUAUACGCCGACUGGUGGUGGUGGGGGGCCGGAGGCCCCGGAGCCAGGCGGCGCGGUCCAUACGAUGCGCCUCCGCUCCUCGUCGCCUCGGUUCCAACGCCCAAGAAAAGGUUCCAGCGCCCAAGAGACCCGGAGACCAGCGAGCCUGCCUCUGCCUGCCUGGCACGAGCCAGUUACGUGUGGGACCCGCUGGGGGCAGCGAAAUGGUGGACUGGUUGUUGCCAAGCGUCUAUUUUGUACACGUACACGCAACAUUGCACACAAGUCAAGUCAAGUGCACCUCAGACGUGGUUAUUUUUCCCUUGCUGAUUUUAUUGCACAGGGUUACAGUCAGCGGUGCGGCCACCAGCCUGACCAAGCAAAGCUAGCUCAUGGGGCGAGGAUAAAUUCCUGUGUCUCACAAGCUGAUCGUUGAAUCUCAACCAUUAAUGCAUGAAGUUGUGGCUCAUGAGUCCAACACUCAACUAUGCGAUCAUCCGAUCGCAGUUGAGUUGCAAGCACAAUAAUACCGUCAACGCACGAGCAUCACACACGAGUGUGCCGAAUAAAUCCGGUAACCUUUUCAUGAAGAUAUACGUCAAUUUUCCUCUCCACAAAUAAAAUGAGGGACAGUGAUAUCCCCAGUCCAUCAGGGUUCAAGUCCUGGUGCUCGCAUUAUUUCUGGAUUUCCGGCGAUGCGCUUUCAGUGAGAGGAGACGUUCCCGUGACAACGAGGCGUCUACGGUGACUUCGUAAAUUUCAAGAUGAAAUGCUGGCUCAGUCCCUCGAAAGUGCUUAUAAGGAUAGAGUGUGCAUGUGUGCAUUCGUAGGGAUGAGUAUAUGCGCGUAUGUAUGAGCGCUUGGGUCUGUAUUGAUGUUCAAAGAAAAAUGACAUGUCGAUUUCAUGUCAAAAGAAAGAAGAAAAAGAAAGAUGUGUGUGUCCUGCUCGUAUCUGAACCCAACCCGUACCAGCGUUCUCCGAUGCGUACCGAUUGGGUCCACUGGCCGGUGCAAUCAGAACGGCCGCGUGCGCGGAGAGGAAUAUGUCACGCGAGGCGGAUCCUGUUGGGGGGAUGGGCGGUUGGGGACUUCGCGGGCCGCGCGGAGACGGCAAUGUGUCGGACAAUGCAGACAAGAACAAACUGACUGGAGCGAGUUUUCACCAAAAGAAAACAAGGACAAGUUGGCCGGGGCUCGUCGCGCCUGCCCUGCGUGCGGAGCUAGGCUAUGCGAGUAAACGUUCCAGUCGAGGCGAUGUGGACGGAGAAAACGAUGACAAAGAUCCAUCUCCCUUUCGUGCCUCCAUCACCACCGUGUGUGGCGUAGCCAGCGAGCUAUAUCUCCCUACUUUGUUCAAACAAAAAAGGGAAGCAGGAUAUAUCUCAGCCUCUCGAGUCCAGGCGUAUGGUCCUCCGAGUUUCGGCGUGAGAUCUCAACUGCCUGCCCCAAGUCGGCAGCGUCUCUCGCGCCAGGAGAACACGCACGGCGAUUUUUCUCCUCCUAAUUUACCGGCGCAAAAUCAUUCCGCGCCACCACAAAUUUACUGUGUCGUGUGAACCUUCCAUAGCUAUGGGAGAUACUACAGGACAAGUAUAAACAUCAGUGCGCACGCCGUUUGUUUGUCGGUUCAUCGAUUUGGCCUCAUGGCAGAUGAAUCCCAGGGCCGACAAGACCGAUAAAUAAACCCUGGCUAAUACGGAAAACACCGUUCGGCUCUGCUGAUUAUUCUGAUGUACGCAAGGUAGACUGUUUUUGUUUUUGUUUUCGCGGUCACAAGAGAACACACUUCACAACCAGGGUGAUGCUUCCUAAGGGAUAACAGAAAAAGGAGUGGGGAACAACACUUGCCACCGAUCGUUACAGGUUUCAACGCCGCGGUACAAGAGAGGUCUCAUGUCAGCUCUAUUGACUUCAAGGAGAACACAAACGUGAUCAAGAGUCGACCCCAAACGGAAGAACUGCGGCCGCCACUGCCCUCCCCUCUUCGUUCAGAAUAUUAUAGGUCGAAGCCGCAUUCCUCUGCCAAACAAAUAUGGGUCAUUAUGCACAUGCAGAGCUAACAGUUUGCAUCACAGUAUCGAAGUUUUGUGUCUGGAAUUGAGAUUUUCAACAUACUCCCUCCGUUCCAAAAUAGUGACCCAACUUUGUACUAAAGUUAGUACAAAGUUGGAUCAUUUAUUUUAGAACGGAGGGAGUAGAUAUUAUGUUGUACUCCCUCCAUCCCAAAAUAAGUGUCUCGGACUUUGUACAUUUUGGGACGGAGGGAGUACAUGAGGGGCAAAAUGCCUUUGAUCUUUACCGAAUCGAUGGCCUCCAGUUUCAUCCCUGUUGACCGAAUGAACUUGCGCAGCUCAGGACUGACUGGCUGGACGUAUUUCCCGCAACCAAGAAUUAGAAUCUCUGGAGAAACACGGUAUAUUGCAUGUUAAUAACCCUAACGGUAAUUUGGUUCAGAAAUACGAACAACAGAACUGUCCACCCCUGGGUCCCUGAGGACAUAUUGUUAAUUUUUAACAAUGAACUUGGAUAAACUACUAGAGCAACAUGUUGAGCCACGACAUGGAAGUAAAAAAAUAGACCGCAAUAUCAUGCACGCAUAAACAAUAUUCAUUUUGACUAAACAUGGAAUGCCCACCCAUGGGAACCAUGCUCAUUAGCAUAAGAAAAUGCCAUGUAGAACAUAGGGCACUGGCUAAGAUACCUGGGAUUGGGUGCACAACUUUGAAGAUUGAUAAACUGCAUUAUUGAAGGAAUAUAAGUUGUCAGUAAAUAACAAUCAAACAGGAAUAGAUUCAACAGCACUACUGCAAACAAAUGGUAUCCCAUGAUCUAAUAGUCAUUGCUCAAGAAAUAUAUACAUUACUGUGCAAACAUUUACCUUUCAGCAGUUAUAUCCGCAAAUGUUUUGGGUGUCCAGGUCAUUAUCUUGUUUUCUACUAUCAGCAAGCUCCCUUCAUACUUUACAUUGUUAAUCUUGAAUCCAGUGUCAUCGUAACUGCAGAAGCAGAACGGAUUUCAGUAAUCUGAUCAAAUAUACAAGUUCUACAGAACUAAAUGAGAUAACAAUGAAAUUUUCUUCAGAAUAAUACACACAAUUCAUUCUAAUAAAAUGGGGGUGGGGGCAAGCCCUUUUCUUAAAAGAAAGAAUAACACACAUAACUGAAAGCAUAAAAGAGAAAUCUAAGCCUCAAGUCAUGGCAAAAUUCAAGUGUGUCCCCAUGACUCUUGCCAAAUUGCAUAUAAGCUAGACUGACAGGAUGAUUCUCAGAAAAGGAAACAAAAGUUAGCGAACUACUGGAGAAUGUAAAAGAACCACUAUAUUUUUUCUCAUCAGCUCCCAGCUACCAAUGGCAUUUCUGUUUGUUUUCCUUAUCAUUCAACCCACCCUGACCAUCCCCAGGAUAAGAAUUAAGAAACCACUUUUCCACCGCGAAUUCCCUUUUCGCUUUCUCAGUAAUAGGCUAGUGGUAUUCCAACCACUGGCGGAGGGUCAUGGUCGUGGAGGCCAAACUGGGCCACNNNNNNNNNNNNNNNNNNNNNNNNNNNNNNNNNNNNNNNNNNNNNNNNNNNNNNNNNNNNNNNNNNNNNNNNNNNNNNNNNNNNNNNNNNNNNNNNNNNNNNNNNNNNNNNNNNNNNNNNNNNNNNNNNNNNNNNNNNNNNNNNNNNNNNNNNNNNNNNNNNNNNNNNNNNNNNNNNNNNNNNNNNNNNNNNNNNNNNNNNNNNNNNNNNNNNNNNNNNNNNNNNNNNNNNNNNNNNNNNNNNNNNNNNNNNNNNNNNNNNNNNNNNNNNNNNNNNNNNNNNNNNNNNNNNNNNNNNNNNNNNNNNNNNNNNNNNNNNNNNNNNNNNNNNNNNNNNNNNNNNNNNNNNNNNNNNNNNNNNNNNNNNNNNNNNNNNNNNNNNNNNNNNNNNNNNNNNNNNUGGCUGCCUGAUGCUUGUCCGUGAGCCAUCCGCCACCAGCGUCAUUGCCUCCAGGCCCCAGUCUAGUGUAGGUGGCGUGAUGAUGGACUAAUUUGGUUGAUUGCGAACUCCUCCUCAAAUCCUCUUUUUACUCGGCUUCUCGUCGCCCCGACCAAAUAUGGUAGCCGCACGCCCACACCGCCGACGACGGGACACCGCGCGCCCGAUGCCAUGGAACCCUAGGCAUCAAUCCCCUUCUCCUCCGCUGCUCGUCAUCCAUCGAUUAGAGUCGCGCCCGCAUGCCCAUGUCACUGAGGCAGCGAUGCUAGCACACCCACGCGUCCUGGUGCGUUCGUUAUGUUACUUGGUUACGGACUUAGUGUUUGGUUAGGUUAGGUAUAUAGCCAAUGUUCCAUUUUAUUUCAUUGAAAAUUGAUAUGCUAUGGUAAUUUAGGUUUCUACUCACAUACUCCGUCUACUAAUUGAUAAAAAAAUUUGAUGCAUUAUAAAUUUCUGGUUUAGGUAGCACUGAAAACAACACAUUAUGCAGUCCUAUGGAAGAAAUGGUCAUCUAAUCAUCCCUUAUUGCGUGUUUUUUCACGCAUAUUUUUUGUUUUGACCUGGGGUUGGCCUCCUCUUGCAAUUAGCUCACGCUCCGCCACAGCUUAUAACACCAAAAUAAUUUGAGAGGCAAAGAUGACUGUUUGCAGAAAAAAAAAGGAAUCGCUCAAACAUGUUACAUUCCCCUUCAUUCAGCCAAGAGAAGUGACCAAUUCCGUAAUGCUGAAGUUAGUGACCAGUUCUCAGAAAUUAUUCAUAGCAGUACAUGAGUACAGCAUCAACUUCAGAUUCCUAGCAGUAAAGGAUAAAAAAGGAAAAAUGGCAGCUCUAUCCCUUCACUUGCAAGCAAUAAAAUGAGUUAACUAUCCUAUAUCAAGAUGAUCACUUCGAAUCAAAACCUCUCCAGUCUCACUGCAUCUGCCAGAAAAUGUCACUGAAUUUCGUGAUAUGAAUUAUCAACAUAUGUAUGUAGAAUAAGAGUAGCAACACUCUCCUGUAGGUAGUAUCUGGUUUUAAGAAAAUAACAUCAGUUUGUAACUGAACUUCCGGGCACUGAUCAACCACAGGACCCUUCAGAAAUUUUGCAAUUAAACCUCCAGAUACUGACCGAUUUGAGUGAUAUUUUGUAACCUGUUAUUUUGGGAAGAGAGUACAUUGAUUAAUCUACCACUACCAGGAUGAUUCUUCGACCAUACAUCAAACAUUGAGCUUAAAACGCAACCAUGGUCAAUCUCAUUCCACAAAUUUACACAUUCACGGAUAUAUUUUGAAGAAGGCAAUCUUGCUAUCGCACAGCAAAAGCUGAAAACAAUUGAAAUGGAACUGGGAGGAUGUAAGGAGAGGUUACGUUUGGAAGCGGAGCUGGUCUUCGGGGACGUUGUCGAUGAGGUUGAUCUGGUCGUAGAGCGAGAAGGUCCUCCUGAUCAAGCCAAAUCCACGUCCCGGUCAAAUCAAAUCCAGCACGCAUCCCCUACGAAGGAGAGAACGGGGGAAGCCGAUGCGUACCUGAGAGACGGGAGGUGCCUGAGCCUGGGAGCGUUGGAGUUGGAGAUGGAAUCGCUCCGCAGCGACCUCACCAGCGUCGCCAGCGCCUUUUGCCCCCGCGCCGCCGCCAUGUCCUCCUCCUCUUCCUCGCCGCCGGUCGGUGGGGGCGCGUCGUGUUCUAGGGGGUCGGGAGUUUUGCACCCACCACCUCUGAAAAUGUUUCGAGUUACGAAUGGCUCCUUACAUGGACAGCCCACGUGGCCCAUGUUGCAGUUGGCUGGGCUGGGCCUCGAAUUAUUCCGAGGCUGCGGUGUGCGACGACGACGACGACGACCAGGAGAUGGCUGCGGCGGCGGGCGGCGGCGGAGGAGCGAAGGCGACGGUGGCGGAGCAGAUAGGGCAGGCGGUACAGUCCACCUCCAACCUUCUCCAGCUCAUGGAGCAGUCCUCCCCUGCCCAGGUCCACCUCCCCCUCUCUUCCUCUCGUCCUUGUCUGUUUCAACUGGCUGCGAGCUCAAUUUGUCAAAUCUGGGGAAUUUUGACAGGAAGUAGGUGCUGAUUCAUGCAGAAUGUUUAUUCAGGUGCCCCCAAGGGUGUGAAUCUUGUGAUAGAUGUGGUAGUUCCUCCUUGCAAUUAGGUUUUGAAUAGAUUUUCACGCCAUUAUUAUUGCUUGCUAGUUAAUCUGUUGCAUCUUAUAAAUUUAUAAUCUACUGUAUAAUAUAUUGGGUCAAUACCGCAUUGAACAUUUUAUCGACAUUUAUGAUUUAUAUCAAGUAUUGAGAGCUUUGAUUGGCAUUGAGAAAGUUGCAAAAGUACUGCUAUGGAGUGUUCAGAUGCAGCAUGGUAUUACAGUUCUAGAUUAUUUGUGUGCUUUCAUUCUUGUCCAGACCUUGUGGAGCUUAACCAGUCAGAAUGCUAGUGGAAGUCACCCUGAUUGCGACAAUUUUCUGUCCCCAAAAAUAUCGAAGUUACAAGCCUACAAUUACAAAAUAUGCUAGUUCACUGAAUUCAGGAGUUUCAAUAUAAUUUUGACUAUGGGGUCUGUGUCCAGAAUAAAUAUUUUGUGCCAUUGUGCUAACACAGGGUCCUUUUUGUCACAGGUCCACUUGGCUAAACUCCCUAAGAAUCUCUUGGCAAAAGCAUCUCUUACAAAGAACACAGAGCAAGUAAAAUGUCAUUUUGCAUGGAUGUGAAAUUAUAUCCCUGUAAUGUAGCUAUUGACAUUUGUAUCCUAUCAUAUUCUAGGUGCUACAACAACUACCUAAUGUAAUUUCUUCCUUGGAUGCUUUUAUGGACAGUAGUUUGCAAAGGUGACUUUCCCAACUUCAUGUCAUUUACACAGUCAUCUUGCUAAUAAUAUUCUAAAGCAGCUGUAGCUUUUCCAAAGAGCUUCUUUAACCAUAAUUUAUUCUCUACAUAUUUCUACCACAUGGUUGAAGGUACUUUUCCUCUUUGUCACCUGUGGUAACAUCAUUUUUUAAACUAUGCAGCGCAUCUCAAAUUAAGACUGUCACACAACUGUUGUCAAACAUGGAGAGCACCCAGCUCAAAUCUAUUUUGCCUGCCUCUCGAUUACAGAAAGAUCAAAAGAAUACUGAGCCUGGAGAACUCAGGGUUGACUGAUGUGUUCACUGUGGCUUAUGCAAAAAGGUAGUUUAGUUUUUCUUCUUUGGGCCACCUCUUAUUCCUGUUUGUUUGGUGCAUAAAUGCAUUGAUUUUUGUUAACAAAUUAUCUCCAAUUGAACUAAUCUUUGCUAGCGUUUAUUUAAAAAUUCAGCGUGAUUGAAAGCAAACUAAAAACUAGCUUUGGGUUGUUCAUGAAAGUUGCUUGGUCAAUCAUCACUUCGUCACUACAUUUGAUAUGUUUCAGUGAUGACUAAAACUCAGAAUUUCUACCCCCUCCGAUCCAUAUUAAUUGUCGCUGAUUUAGUCAAUUUGAUUAAAUCAGCGACAAUUAAUAUGGACCAGAGGAAGUAGUUCAUUCAGUUGGCCUACCAUGAUCACUUUAAAUUGCAUAUUGUUAUAUUGGAUGUGGACCAUCUAUUUCUUUACUGUGCUAGGCAGUAGGCACAACGUCAUGCCUGGAAUUGUGUCUGAGAAUCGUUUGGGGUUAAUGCUAACUGCAAAAUGUGGAACUAGUAAAGAUCUUAGGAUUACUUGUUUGCUCCCCAUGUUUGCCCUACCAAAAAUGUGGUUAGCCAAUAUUUUGGUUGAGGUUUUGCAUGCCCGUGAGUUGCCCAAAAUUGGCUAGAAAAAUGAACUAGAGUUGCGAAAGAGCAUUGGCAUGCCAAAAAGUUGGCAGUCAUCCAAACAAGGACCAAUGUUUUGGCCAUGACCGAAAAUUCGGUAGGGUAGACAUUGGUGGCAAUUCGAACAUACCCUUAAAUCUGCACAAAAAAUGAACUCAUUUUUCUUUUGCAAACUUUUUCUUGUUGGACCUUUGUAUCUCUGUUUCUUUCAAACGGAGGGAUUGCUUCAUCUAAACAAACUGAUUCAUUUUUUUGCAUUCCAUAGCAGAUCUUGGCAUCUCACCAAAGCCUAGGCUCAGCUGACUUCUGCUGGAGAACAAGGUAGUAACUGAAGAAUUGUAGUUGGCAAGACUCAGGUGGCGGGUGGCGCUGGAAUGUGCAAAGGGCCCUGCUGUAGAACUGUGAAACCAUUAUCUAUGUGCACUGUGAUUUGGAGGCUCGAGGCAACGGACCUGCUGUCACUGUCAUAAUGCUUACUGCAAAUUCUGUUGAUUCGCUCCAGUGCUAAUUAAGAAACAUUAGUGUUGCCCCCUUUUCAUUUAAAUGUAAAAGAAGAUACGAUGACAUCUGAUAUUGCCAAUGCAGGUACGUGUGUAACGCCAAUGUCCAAUGCCCAAUGCAAUUUAGUUCUUCA
rnacentral:lncRNA from 1 species